rnacentral:lncRNA from 1 species
ACAUCCUCGCGGCGGGCCCCUUCUCCGGAGGGUCGAUGAACCCGGCGCGCUCCUUCGGGCCGGCCGUCGCCAGCGGGAACUUCUCCGACCUCUGGAUCUACUGGGUCGGUCCCCUCAUCGGUGGCGGCAUCGCCGGGCUGGUGUACACCUACGCCUACAUGUGCUCAGACCACCAGCCACUCCCUCAGUGACCUGCAAGCAAGCUCAGCUGAAUAAGAACGAGAGAUAUGAGUUGCUGAGUGCUUGAUGUUGCUUGUGUUUUGGAAGUCUGAAGCCAAUUUGCUUGUGUGUUUCUCUGAGCUUCUUAAGAUUUCCAGUGUCAUCUUCUUCGCAAUCAAGUUCUUAUUCACUUUUGACUCAGAAGUACUUGCAGCAUCACAAUAACCAGCACAAUAAUGGAGCUAAUCGGUCAACAAACAAGAAAGUGAUGUUAGAUGAUGUUUAAUCAACCCAAUGGAUGGCUUUGUGUGUAUACAUAUACAUAUAUGUAUAUGUAUAUAUGUAUAUACAUAUAUACAUAUACAUAUACAUAUAUGAAAAAAAUAUGUAUGUUGAUUCAACAUCUGCCUAUCGGGUUGAGAUUAAUUGAGCCGAACCUAAACCUCACUCGUGGCCAAAAUCUUGAGCUGUGUCCGGUUUGACUCGGGUUAGACCGGGUUCUUGGCUAGGGUUGGAUCAGAUCAAGAUACCGCGGGGUCAAAAUUGAUCCAAAUAUUGUGGUCAAAUUUCAAAUUGGGUUCGAGUUAGGGCUUAAUCUGACCGCGUAGCCCAAGUUGUUGACCCAAGGCCGAAUCCUUCCAUGUUAUUGAACGGCUCGCAAGCCCCAAAAGCCUUGAAACGUCUUCAGCCUCGGACGACACUUCCCCAUCAGAGGAGAGGGACAAUAACGCUUAGGGAAGAAAGAGGCCGAAGGAGAGAGCAUGAAAGGAUCGAAAAUGUAAAGCUUUGGGGUUUAAUAAGAGGAGGGUGGAGGGCCGAGGGAGUAAACCCAAAGCCCUUGGACUCAAGACUCGGAAGCCGAAUCCCGUCAGCGCAAUUUGCUAGGUACAGGUAAGUAGUUUUGAUCUUCCGCCGGGAAAACGAUGCCCGGUUUAAGGUUGUAGAUUUGAUCUUGUUAAUGAGUUUUCAAGGAGAGUUUGAAAUGCAUCUGCCAUGAGUUUUCACAUUUUCUAGUUUACAACACUUGAUUAGCUUUUUUGUGUUCUCACGGAAUAUUUUUUGAUAGUGAAAGCAGAAAUCAAAUUUGAGUACAACCUGGGUUCAUCUUCCUCUGAUUUUAUGGUGUAUUGUAGUUAAGUUCUGCGGACUGUUUAUCUUCAGCAACAAUUAGAAAUUUCAUUUCUAGGGCAUCUGUUUGCCGAUUAGUGAAUUGUUCGAAAUCAUUUUGCACUAAAUAGUCCGCUUGGAAAUACUUGAUUGUCUAUUCAAGUACAUCACUUGCAGUGUGUGUAUGUGUAACUAGACCUUGACAUCCUGCAAGUUGACCAACAAUGUGCAUUGAAAUAUACAAAUUUAGAUACCCUCUUUAUUCUCUCAAGCAUCAUCUCCUCAUAUUUUUUUUUGUCUUUCCCUACUUUAGUCCAUAUAGUCAUCAUCUCCUCCCUCUCCAAGCAAUGUGGUUAGCAAAUAUAAAUUGCUAUAUGUAGCAUUUGGUUUUUUCGCUGCAAGUGCUCCAUGUAGGAUCAAGCAAACAUCCUAAUCAAGAAAGCAUACGAGUCUUCAGCCUUCACUAUUACAGACUACUGUGCACAAUGAAGACUUGUUCUUUUGACCAAAAAUAACAUAGUUUUGGAGCCACUACCGUACACAAUAAGAAGUUGCAUGCGUUCACUGUAUGUAAAUCUAAUACUUGUGUGCUGUUUUCCCAGCAGGAGGAGCUGUGCACAACCCAGUUUUAGAGAGUGAGACCUGUAACUAAUAACAGAAGACAUUUCCCAGGUUUUUCUGCAUCAUUUGCUGAAUCUCUGCUAUUUGCAUAUAAGUCUCAUGCUAAAAUUAUUUUCCGAGUGCAAUGUCAAAAUUUGAUUUAUUUUGAACGUACAGAAUACGGAUAGACAGAUCAACACCACAACUAGAGGUGUGCUCAGAAAGAAGUACAAGUUGCAAGCUCUUUCCUGGUACGAUCCCUAUUCCUUGUUUCUACAGUUUGCAGCAUCAUUAUGCUCAGUCUUCGCACAACUGCUCUGCAUCUUUGCAAACCUUCCUCGUAUACGAGGUUGACUGUCGGCCAAGGCCUUUCUGCAUGCAUACUGCACAAUCCACAUAUAUGAUCACUGUUAUUCAAAUUAGAUGAAUUCAUCUGAGGAUAGAAGGCUGUUAGGUGGAGAUUUAAGAUGUGUUGUUCCUCAAAAUGCCAUUCCAGGAUUUGCUUAGAGUAGCUCAAUUGAACUAACCACGUAGCUUGAAAACUGUCAUCAAAAGCUAAUAUGUGGAGGGGUGGGUAAUAUCACUUUCAAAUGUAGAUGAUUCAUUUUUUUUAUCAUAGGUGUGUCAAAAUUUUAAUCUGAUUAGUGUAGUUAACUGUUGAGAUCAUAUAGACUACAAGUACUAUGUGAGAAUAGACUAGAAACUCACCUUGAUCUUUCUGUGAAAAUUUCUUUUUGUUCUUUUCUUCCUGUACCUGGAAAGCUUUUGGAUUCUUUCUUCAAUCUUCAGACCCUCAUUUGUUGAUAAAAGCUUAAAGGAAGGAACAAUGUUCAUAUGACCAUGAACUAAGUUAUUGAUGAUUCCAAUACUCUGCCAGACAAAAAAAACUCAGAAUCAAUGACCUGCCACAUCCUUUGGAAAUUGGCAGGACCUAAACAUAUCUUAAUAUACAUGAUAUGAAGACUAGAAGACAACUGUCAUCAUUCAGCUAAUCCAGUUAUCUCAAGAUCAAGUUGAGUUGAUGAUGCUAUUAGACUGAAGAACAAUUCACAACUAAAGCUAACAAAUUCAGGAAAAUUACAGAGAAAAAUGUAGCAAAACCCUCAUAUUUCUUAUGAUCCUGGAUGAUUGGUAACUAUCAGAGAUUCACUAUAAAGUUGAAUAGUCUGAUUAUGUCGUAGGGGCAUCAUUCAUUGUCUCUGAACUCAUUACCAGGUAAGGAGAGGAUCUGCAGCAGUUCUGAUGACACUGCGACCUGUGAAUCUGAGGAACUAAAUGAUUGUUCUUAAUGUUCCUUGCAUCCAGUGUUAAAAGCUAACGAUUGGUAACAAUUAUAUUCUUUGUGAUAAGCUCUGAAAUAUGUACAGUUGAAAAAUAAUAUAUCAUAUGAUAAGCCAAAUAUGAGAUGAUCACUUGAAAAUUAAUAAUUCAUAUUGGAAGUCAUGACUUCUUUAAUCUGACCUGGAUAUCUCCUUCACUGUAUGUCCUCAUUCCAAAUGCAGCUUCAAGAUUCAUUUCGUGAACAUCAAGUAAACAUGGUCCAGUGCUGGAAAGGCCCCUCUGCAAAGAUCCAUUUGUGCAGUCUACUGACCUUAGACACCCAGAGCUGACACUCUUCUGCAAAGGCCCCUCUGCAAAGAUGUUAUUGUUUUCUCCAACCGCAACUUCUUCAGUCUGCAGCACAGGAAGCAUGAAGUCUGCUGCCUCAGGAACUGGUGCAUCAGUCGAUAUUGCAAGAAGAUCAUUUUUGCAGUCAUAGAAGACCUCACAAAAUAGAUCUUCAUUUUGGAUUGAUUCCAUGUGAGCUAUUUGAAUCUUGUCUUCCAUGAUGAUACUUUCACCACCAAAUAUCAUCGAAUUUGCUGCUGCCAUGGGAUCAAAUGCAAGUAGUGAUUCUUCUAAUAUGGGCUUUGGAGCUUUGAACAGAUCUCCUUCUCCUCCCAGGUCAUAUUCAGAGAUAGCACAUGUCUGAAACAGAGUACUCUGUCAAAUCAACAUCAUAUGCAAGUGCAAAGAAGAACAGAAGAGCUGCUGGGGAAAUCAUAAGAAACAUGAGGAGCUGCAAAUGCAGGGAAGACCACAAUGUUGUAUAAGCAAGCAAUCAAAUGUAUGUAUCUAAUGAAAUCUUCUUCAUGGUGUCAAAGCAAACAGUGAAAAACUUCAAAAAUGUACUUGCAUAAAUUCUCUGUUUCCUUCAAAUGAAAAAUGCAGAAAUUUGAUGUUUUAAGACUUAUUGGAUCAGAAAAGCAAGCUUCCAGUUUUUGUGAAACCAAAUUACAAGAAACGAUGUAAAAAAUAUUACAUUUGGCAUCUAACCUUGUAACAAUGUAAAACAAUGACAAACACUAUAAAAUUCUUGCAAAUAUACUGCUUCUAUUAACAUGAGACUAAUCAACUCAACAUCAACAUGAUAUCAGAGAAGUGAUAGGAAGGAAAACAAAAGACAAAAACUUUCUUACAGACACAGCACUCGACAGAUUGCACAGAAUCAACAAUCCUCAGAGUUCUGCGUGUCAUUUCCCAUGAAAUAAACGAAGUUCUCUUUGAGUUAAUUUUUCCAAACAAACAAACAAAAAAGAAAAAUUGUAGUACAUGUUCUACAUCUGUUAAAGUGGACAUGAUCACUAAAAUAUGCCUUUAACAUCUAUAUUCUUCUUAGGACUUCCAAACGGAAGGAAAGAAAAUAAUGAAAAGAAAUAUGUCUAUAAAUAUAUAUAGAGAGAGAGAGCAUAAAGUCAACGAUUCCAAGUGUUUCAGUACUGAUUUGAGCUUCUUUCAUGCGGGAAAAGCCGCCGUAUGAGUCAAUGAGACUUUAAGCAGCAAACACCAAUAAAAAAAGAAUGUCCGGUAGAGCGACAUGUACCGGGUUGGAAGCAGCAUCAGGGAAAUUUGUGGUGAGAAAGUCUUCGAGAUCUGUGAAUGGAAGGAGAUGCUGUUCGGCCAUUGGUGGAAAGCUUUGCAUGAAGGGCGACAGCAUCCCGGCUUCUGCGUACAUCUCUCUCUCUCUCUCUCUCUUGCCUUUUCUCUUGGCUCGGAACCUGGAACUAGAAGGCCGAGAAGGAACUGAAACUAUAAGAAGCGAGAGAGAGAGAGAGAGAGAGAGAGAGAGAGCAUGAAAGAAGUAGUAAAAGGAAAAAAAAAAAAGGGACAAAAACCACAAAUUAAUUACUAGGAAAGAAAACAAAAAAGGUGAUGUUAAUUAAACACAGAAUCAGAAAGAAGAAAAGGUGGAUCUUUCCAUCUUUACUUACCUAAUAAUAUAAUCUUCUUCACCAGUUGAAGAUUUGUCUCCAACAUGGUCCUCCAUCUGGAAAGCUCCUGAACUACUGCUUCUUGGUGAGAUGAUGUUAUAAGAUAUAACGAAUCUCAGCAUGUAUAAACUGUAGAACGUGUUUUUUUCUGAAAGGAAAACAACAACAACAACAACAACAAAACACUAUAUUGAUGUAAGCAUUAGAUACAAAAAGGCUGAUGAGGCUGCGGAUCGGCUGCAUGAAGGAAAAAAGUAUGAAGCAUGGCAUCUACCAAAAAGAGCCACUGAAUGAAUGACUUGAGCACUCAUUUACUUUGAGCAAACAAAAGGAAAAAAAACAUCACGAAUCCAACGAAUCCAAAUUGAUGCAAGUUGCAAGGUGUCGACGAUCCUGAGCCCAUCCAGUAACGCGUUUCGGACAUCGGUGGGAUCGUAGCGAGGUGUAGCAAAGAGGUUCAUUGUGUGAGUUCCCGAUGUGCAACUCCGUCAAGAAAGAAAUCAUAGCUUAUCUUGGCCAUCACCUGUACUCUCAUUAGAGCCUUCAAGAUUCUGGUUGGACUCGAGAACAUCAUUCACAUACAUCGUAACCUUCCUCAAAAGAUGGAUGGAUGGUCUGUAGAGUGUAUUAUGGAGUUAGGAUUGUGUAAAGAAUUCUGGACUGUAUAUAAUGAAAGAGCUUUUGAUUGAAUUUGUUUUUGAUUAAUCUGUUGAUUGAAUUAAAGGAAAAUUGUUGAGGAUCUGAAGGUGAUAAAAUUGAGAAUUGAUUCAUAGUAGUUAUCUAGGUAGUUACAAUGUUCUAGGUAGUUAUAUGCAUGUUCUAAGUAAUGACCCAUGAUCUAAAAGUUAUAGGAUAGUUUCUAUGAUUAACUCAAUCAUGGAUGACAUGAUGGAGUGAGACAGUUACCUCUAAGUCCUAUAAAUAGGAUAAUAGUUCAUGAAGCAAAACAAGUGUGUGUUCACUUGGGAAUAUCUUAUAAGUAUUCUAUAUCUUUCCUUUUGUUUAAAUACUGCAUCGAUUUUUUUGAUCGAAAGAAUUCUUUUUAAUUACAUCGUAGUAUUAUGUUUUUAUUGUUCAUUGCUCCUCCAUCCUCAAUAUUAAAAUAUUCAAUUAAAAUUUAGCUAGGGUUAAUUCUAAAUUUGAAUCCAUCCUAGAAAAAGUAGAACUUAAUAAAAGAGUAUAUUAUAAAGCAAGUGGAUGUAAAUAAAAUGAAAAAGGAUGAUUACUACUGAAUCUUUUCAAUUUAAAAUAUUAAAAAAUUUUAAAUUAAUUGUAAUACCUAAGAGAUUUUUUUGAUUUAAAAAUUAUUAUUAUUAUCAUCUAAGAUAUACUUGAAAAAAAGUGAGAUAUUAGGAUGUUUUAAUACUUAACAUCUACUUAUAUAUUCUACUAUGAUGGGAAAAUGUUGUAUCUGAGGAUCGACAACAACAGAUCAAAAUAUUUUUUAUUCAUUAUCGAAUUUUCUAGAAUUUUAAACUCUCCCAAUUAGCCAUUUCAUUUCUCAUUUCGAUGAUAGGAUGGAGAAUAAAAGAAAAUCUAUAUAAAAUGAAGAAACACAGCGUCUAGAGAGAGAAAAGACAAAAUAAAAGAAAGAAGAGAGAAAAGAGAAAUAUAGAGAAAGGCUUGACGUGGUGAGUGAGAGGAAAAGGAAUGGAAAGAAAAAGGUUGUGCCAAAGUAAGGAGAAGUAAAAGGGGAAAAGAAAAAGAAAAAGAUGGAGAAAAGAAGAAGAAGAAAAAUGAGAAAAAACAAUAUGAUCUUACCCAUGUCUUGUUUUUAUAUCAAAAUAGUCAGCUUAUAUUCAAAGAAAUUAUAUUUAUAUACAUUUUUGAGUAAUUACGAUUUCCUAUUUAUCAAAAAAAAGUAAGUAGGAUUAUAGAACAAUUGAUUUAAUUCUGCAAUAUGAUAUUAAAGAAUAAAAUAAAAUAUUAAUAUAAAUGAUUAUCGUUGAGGAUAGAAAAGAAAAAAAAGGAUAAAUUAAUGAUUAAUAUGAUUUUAGGAUUUAUUCUUUAUUAUAUUUAUUUAUGCUACUUUUAAUGAUCUAAGAAAUGUGAGAGGAUCUUUGAUCAUUGUGCUAGUAAGCAACCAAUGGUUGUGUGUUGUUUGUCAUUAAAAUUAAUAAUGUACAUAUUUCCAAUAAUAUGAUUUGCCAGUGUUGAAUGAAUUAUUAGUUUUAAAAAUCUAUUUUAAUAUUAUAUUUAUUUAAAAUAAUUUAAUUUUUUAUUAUUAUUAUAGUUUUGAACAUUAGAUUAUUUGUCAUAUUUAAGAUGAUGUAUAAGGACUUAUGCAUUGAAAGCCUAUAUUGAUAUGUUCUCUUAAAUGGUUUUUAAUUGUUUAGUGAUUUUGGCUAUUAUGUAGACCCUAUAAAUUAGUUAUAAGAUCAUAGAUUAAUUUAGAUAAAUAUGUUAUUUAUACCAAAGUGUUAGGCAUAUUCGGGAUAUUAUUAUCGGUUACAAUUUGGUCAUAAUUUUUAGCAUUCCAACAUAUGUAACUUUAUAUGUGAAUUUUCAGUUAUAUUUAUAAUUAAUUAAUGAUAAACUUUUGCACUAAAAUUAUUUCUAUCAAAUUAAUUAAUGAUACAUUAAUUAAUGUAUUGCUUAUAAGGUUUGAUAUAGUAAAUAUUUAUGUGAAUGUUAUAUGAUGAACUUAUUAUUAGGGAUAAUCGAUCGUUUAAGUGCAUCGAUUUAAGUUUUAAAUUUUAUAUGGUUUAAAUCUUAUAAAUAUCAUAGGAUGAAUUUUAAGGGUUUUAUAUAUUUAUCCAUUCAAAAUUUAUAAAUGUAUAAUGUACCCUUCCAAAAUUUAAUAAUAUAUAUACAUAUAUAUAUAUAUAUAUAUACAUAUAUAUAUAUACAUAUAUAUAUAUAUAUAUUCAAAUAUUUAGAUAUUUCAUAUAUGUCCCAUAAACAUUGGGUUUGUUAAAUAUUAAAAUAUUAAAUGUUUACAAAUUUAUUUAUUAUUUCAAUUCAUUAUUUGUUCCCUCAUAUUUAUUUUUAGGAUUUUUAUAGAACAAUUAUGCUAAAGAUAAAAGCAACAUUGUGUUUUUAAGAAAGAACAAGUAGUCAAAACAAGAUUUAACCCCAAGACUUUUUAGUCUAAUAAAAUAUUUCCAAUCAAGAUGCUCAUCACAACCUUUAAUAAGUUAAUUCUUUAGUAAAUAAAAAAAAUAUUAUUAGAUAAGAUUUCGAAUCCUCAACCCAUAGUGAGUCCAAUAUGUCAUGUAAAAUAUAUUGGAUAAGAUUUUAAGUCGGUUUAGUACAUCAUUAUCAAUCAAAUCAAAACUAUUUAUAAUUAGAAUCAUUAACUUUAAAAAGGAUAGGCAUGCAAUUUAUAGUUUUUAUAAGAAAAAAAAAUUAGUGCUCUUAAUUUGACUAUUCAAAUUACUAGUGCAUGACAAAAGAAGCCAUCCACCUAAGUGACUUCAAAUAAUUGAGAUAUUUGACUACAUCCAAGUGUCCAUAUGAUGAACAAAACCUAACAAAUGUAAAUUCGACACAUGGAAUGAACCAUAUAUGUGGUGGGUGGGCCUUACCAUUUUUGUGCGGUUAUGUCCGACGAUUCUGGUUUCCACUUCCCAUGGCGACAUGAAGCUUAUCACCCAAUGUGACUAAAGAGGUCACUACAAGAACAUCCAAGACCUAAAAGUAAUUGAAAUGAGCCUAAUGCUUGCUAUGGGACAAACUCAUGACAAGAUGUGAGGAUUUGGGGUAGAUUUCAGAUAGAUUUCCUCCACAUCUCAUCUCCAAGCACACCUUUCCAAAGUAUAUUUGAAUUCAGCUCAUGCAUGCACUGGCGACAUCAUUGGGUCUUGGAAAUGCUUGCUUCAAAGUUCAAACCUCUUCAUGCAUGCAUGAUCUGUUUAUACAUACAUUAGCUGAAACUAUUAGUCAUCAAAGACACCCCAAAAAAAAAAAGAAAUGUCUCACUUUAUUUAAUUCAUGUGACAUGAGGACUUGGAAUUUUCUUUUGUAGAUUUGGUGGCAAGAAAAUUGUUAACUAGCUCUUGAGUGGUAUGAUAAAGGAUCAUCAACAAAAUCAGAAUAUAAAUCUAAACAACAUCACUUCCAUGCCCAAUAAUUUGGAUGUUGGAUCCAUACUGGUGUAGAUUAAAGAUCUUCUCAUCUGGUAAAUCUAUUGAAAUCAAAGUAGAGAACAAUCUCAAAGCAAGUUAGCAUAAAAAAACAAAACAAAAAAAAAAAUUUGUGGAGAAGGUGAAUUCUGUAGACAGUUGACUCAGAGUUGACAAAAGAAUCACAAUAACUUGCUGCUGUUGCCGACACCAGCAGGUUGGAACUACAUGAGUUGUUAUAAAAUCUUAUCAGUUCACUGUCUUGUCUUAGAUUUGGCUUGGUAUGUACUUUGGUGUCACUGGUCCUUAAUUAGCUACCAACAGUGACAAAUGGAGGAAAUGCAUCACAAAAGGCCAGAUUCAUAGAUGUCAGGGAGUGCAGCAAACUCAUCAAUCUAUCAGCACACAGAAAAAAAGACUUCCACUUGAAUAAAUUUCUUGCCCAAGAUGAGCAGAUCAUGACUUCCACUUCAAUCUAUCAUGAUUCCUUGUCAUGACAUUGAGAGGAACUAAUUUCUUUUGGACUACUUUUUUCUAAAGCAAUUUGCUCAUGGCUGAGACAGCACCCUCCACUGAAACUAGUUUGCCAGUAGGGAGCAGAAACAAACUGUGUAUCUUAUUAUUAUUGUUCUUGAGGGGUGUCAAGCUUAUUAUGCUGGGAGUUGAAACUUGUUAGUGAUUGGGAACAGCAACAACAAUUAUAAUUCGCUUUGGGAUUAAUGGAGAACUCAGUGGCCAACAUAGAAAAAGAGAUUCAAAGUAAAAGCAUGGAAAUGAGAAGCAAAAGAAACAACACUGGAGAGAAAACUUAGGACCAUAGUUUUAAUUUUGUGUUUGCUCUCUCCAUUUACCUCAGCUCAGCGUAGAGAUUUUGGUGGACUGAGAGGAAUGGCUUAGCAUCGAGAUAUUUAGGAAACUCUUCUAACUAUGAUGUUAGGUCUCGGCAUCUGUUGUUUGGCCAUCUAAGAGCUUAGGCUGAGAGAUAUGGAUAAGAUAAAUAAAAGUAAUAGUCUUAUCACUCUUUUUUGGAAGAUUAUAAGCUUCUUAAUUAUGAUAUUUCUUUCACUUCCAGAUGUCCCAAUACUUGAUGAUGCCUAGGCCUCAUGGCCAGCCAAUAGAUACUGCUGCAAAGCUAAAAGGACUCGCUAUGGACUGCGACAACUCCCGAGUCCAGGACAACUUGUCUCUUCCAUCACCUGCGACACAGACUUUCUUGGCUCCGAACCAACCCCGCCAUGAAAUGAUGCACCGAAGUGAAAGGAUUGUAAUCCUCAUCAUCAUUACAGCUUUGGUGACAUGGUUUACCUGUCCUGAUGAGGAGUACACCUGAUCUCGAGGGGAGCGCUGCCAAAGAGUAGUGCUUCUUGAUGAGAAAUGUCUCCUUGUCCACUGCUGUUCCCGGCUUCCCCUAUGGAAUGUUGUGUUGUUACAAGUGGCCAAUUCGCAUCUCAUCUCGUUUGCUCCUGGCCGUCCGACGUGAUCACAUCGUCGUCGUCGUCGUCGUCACCUACGAACUCCUUUCCUUCUUCCACCACCCCACGUUUAGGGUCCGGUCCCUCUUCAUAGUAGCCGGUCCCCCAUGAAACUAGCUCACAUGUCCGAGGUGAGGAACUACUCGAGUCUAAUUAGAUUCAUAUUAGGAAUGCGACGACUUGAUCUGAAUUCAUCAUAUGCUUUACGUUUCGUCCAUAAAACUUAUCUCAGGUGGAAGGUAUCUGUCCACUGUUCCUUGAACUAAAGGAGAGGGCACGUUUCGGUUGCUAGCAUGGAGCCGAUUGAAUUGGUCUCAUCAAACAAUCCUAUCAGACUUCCUCCUUUUCCUUUUGCCACUGAACUGGUACAGGACCAAGGAAGCUUUACUUUGCCGACGUCUCAUGGAGCCGACGCUGUAAACAAGUACAACAACUAUUACCGACAACAGAAUGAGCACUAGUUCGUCUUUUGGACUCAGUACCUGCAUCGCAAGCUUGUCUUCGAGUCCCUCUCAGCUCCAUGAAAUAAUGCAGGUGAAUGCACUCUGAAACUGCCGAGUCUGAUCUCCUCCAACUUGUGCAGAGCCACCGCUGUCUCUCUCUCUCUCUCUCUCUGUACAAUUCGCAUCAUGAGACUAUUCCUCAUCACAUCUGAAAGCAGUCUGCUGAUAGCAGAACCCGAAACCUGACGGACGUCGCCUGUUACUGAUGGAAUGCAUUUAUGAUUGAGGAGCGAUGUGGGAGAUGGACAAGUGGAAGGCCUUGCAUAGUUCGACGAUUCACCAUUUACGGAUUGGGGGAUAUGCCCGUGACCUUUUUUGUGCGUAACGCAGAAGCCGUCGAGCAGAAGCCAUUGGUGCCAGCUUGUCACGUCACCAUCUGUUCUCGGACACUGAACCAUGAGCUAUGCAUGUCAACCAGUACCUGACGCUGUUCCUUCUCGGCCACCUUGGAUGCAGCCACAAUCUCGUCACGGCCACGACAAACCAUGGUGGGUUCCUCACCACCUUGGCUUUUCCGAAUAUGUAACGUUGAUCAUGGCCUGGAAAUGGUAAUAUUCCCAUGCGAUCGCACACCCCGUGCUUUCCCCCCCCUCAACUUUUUCCAUGUGCCAUUGUUCCCAAUCUCAACUCGAAGAGUUUCUUACCGUCCUGCAUCAACAACGAGCCUCCAUUAGCGGCAACUUUUAGGUGCCAUCACAGUCGCAAGCAUAAUGUCGUUGCUGUCUUUUCGCUUUUUCAUGUGUCGACUAGGGUUUCUGCGGCAUGAACAAGGCAAUAAGUUUCUUUGAUAGAAACUUAUGGUGCAUUUAUACAUACAUAUGUUUGCCUAGCUAUUACAAAAUGUAUGUUAUGUAUGUGAUAGAGAAAACCUAGGAACCCUGUUUUCGAAUGUAUAAAUGGAAUAAAUGUCAAGUCAAGUCAUUAGUAAACUAUUUUUUCUUCCAAGUAAGAUGGAAUUGAUGUAGUGAUAUGUAGGUUAAUAUGAAACAAAUAAUUUUUUUUGGCAUUUAUGGAUGUAAUAUCUAUCUAUUUUCUAUGGUAGACAUAGUUCUUUAAUUGGAUCUGCCUUUUUCUUUGAAGUAACCCAAUUGUCAUCUUUUCUACUCUAUUUUCUUUGUCCUCAGUUGUUAAUGGCUUCUUUCGCUAUUUCAUUAUCGUUCUCUCUCUCUCUCUCUCUCUCUCUAUCUUUCUCAAUUUUGCAAUCAUUUUUUCUCUAUUUUUUUUAACCAUCCUUUUCGUAGUCAAUCUCUUUCAUGAUUAUUUGUUUCCUUUUCUUAUCACUUCACUGUGAGCACGGGAUAUUGUACCUUCAAGGAGAGAAUUAUGCAUCGAUGACUUCUGCCUUCUGAUGCAGCAAGUACUCUUGUAAUCAAGUCAUCGUGGUAGGUCUUGUGCUGGAAGAUGCACUGAAAGCUCCUCCACCAUCAGAAUCACUUGUACUGUAGUAAAUGUUGCGGUAAGCUUUGUGAUCAGCAGUCAAACGUUGGGUGGUCAGAUUGCUCCAAACACAGAUUCAUGUUUAACAAGCUUUGAAUAUUUGGAAAUCAAAUGCCAAAGAUAGCUCAUCAACCAAGAGAAAGAACUCAUACCUUUCAUGCCCCUGGUGUGUUUCGUGUCCUCUGGUUUGUGUCAUUCAUACUCUUCCUCCAUUUACGAAGUCCAAGGAAAUCUAACAAGAAUGAAGAAGCAGAAAGGAGUAUGCUUAGUGCCAGUCAUACUCUUGGCUUGUGUCGGUCAUACUGUUCCUUCAUCUACGUAAGUCCAAGGAAAUCUAACAAGAAUGAAGAAGAAAGGUCAUACUCUUCAUCUAACAAGAAUGGUGAACAAGAAAGGAGUGAUGAAAGAUGAACACGACGACGCGAGGCUCAGAACAGUGGCACAUCCCAAUGCUUCCCGUAGCCGUAGUGGAUAUAUACGCUCUAGUAUUCAAAGUUAGAGGUAAAUAUAAAAGGAUGAUUCUAUAUUUUUUUUAUAUGUUUUAAUUCUCAAUUAAUAUCUGAGUGAUGAUAUAAUAAAUAAAUAUUUUAAAAUUUUUAAAAAUAUAAAAUUUUAUAAAAUAAUUUUUUAAAUGAUGACUGAUGUUGUAGGAAUAGGAUGAAUAUGCUAUUAAUGAGAUAAACAGUAGUUGGAAAGACUAUUGAUUAAAAUGUUAGUGGCAUGAAUGCUUGAUAUAGGAGGGUGAGACUAGUUUCAACUAUAUAUUAGUAUUUUUAUUUGGUAGAGCUAACUAGUUGAGGUGUAUAUGGGGAUGACUUAAGAUGUGAUAUGCUACAUGAUGAAAGAUAAAUUAUUAGAGCUUAAUAUUCACCUCUUUCAUCAAAGUAAGCUAUUUUAAUGGUUGACAAGAAGAAGUUCUCGAUCACUUUUUUAAAAUGAGUAAUGAUAACUUCAUAUUUAUGUUUGAGAGGAUAUGAUGAUAUAUAUUUAGUGAAGUAAUAUAUAAAAAUAAUAUAAAAUCUAAAAUUAUCAAAGGAAUUAAUUGAGGCAAGACUAGAAGAUAUUUCAAAAAGAUAAUCUAUGACUUUUAUUACUAAGGCAAUCAUUACAAUAAUUAAGUUGUGAUUCUAUUUGAUUUGGAAGUUAGAAGAAAGUAAUGAAAAAUUAGCUAUUGUUGAAUGGAUGAUGACAAAUGACUAAGGCGGUGAUGGCAAAUAUCGAUUUGAGCAGCAAUUAAAGCAAGAGCAAUUAGUUAAGUGAUUUAUGAAGUUGACAAUUACUCAUAAAUCAUAUCAUUUGAGGACUGCAGCGUAGUGGCCUAGUACGUCCGUUGAGUCGAGUGAAUUAUUAUGAAGAUAAUAAUUCACUAAGUCAGAAGGAGUUCUGAUAGGUAUGACUCAUGGCCAGCUCAAUAUUGGGCCUGGAGAGUCACACACAUAUGAUAAGCGUUGUAAUGAGUAGAGGUUUGGAUAUGAGAUAUCCGCCAAAGUCCCUAUCUUAUUGGAUAUCCAAUAAGCCUUUGAAUUAGGAUCCUAUGAAUGAGAUCCAAUAAGAACUAAUGAGAGAUUAUUUGAUAAAGAUUCACUAAUUUAAGAUGCUUGAAUAGUUGGAUGGAGAUCCAACACCCAAUAGGGCAGGAUCUAUUAGGGUUAAAUUGACAUGAGACCUCUAUAAAUAGGAGGGAACCAAUGGUUCAUAGGCUAGAGCCUUUUUGGUUGUUAUCUCCUAUUCUUCUCCCCUUCUCCUCCUCAGAUAGCAGGCCUGGAGAUUCGAGGAGCGUCGUCGUAGCUCUACUAUGUGGAUGACCACUAAAGAGGAUGAUGCUUGACUUCCUUCACCCUCUCCUAGAGAUUUGCAGGGAUUCAGGGAUAUAUGAUCUCCCUAAGUAACACAAUCUUUAAUAUACAUAAUUUUUUAUUUUAUGGAUUUUAUGCAUCAAUCUUUGCAUGACGACGAACACAUCUUUAAAAAAUUGGGGAUUUUGUUUUUCCGCUACGCAUGUGAUGUCGGCCCCUAAGAUUUCCUUAUAGAUAGCCACUAAGACAUCACUUGGCUAUAGGAGGGGGGUCGAUGCUGUCUUCAUAAGGGACUUUAUUGUCCAUGAGACAUCCUCAUCCUUAGGAAGGUCGGCAAAAGGAUUCAGCUCGACCUCCAACUUAGGGUACUUUGCCUGAAAGCAAGUCAAAGAAAUCAUGUACCCAUAUUAGUAUGAUACUCACCCUAACCUUUGUAGCCCCAAUCGAAAGACGGGGGUCUCUUUGUAUUGUGCCACUAUCUCCUUCACUCUCUUGAGAGCUAUGCAUCGCUCCUCGACCAAGGCACUUUUUACCUCCUAAUGCAUGGUCUGAACCACUUCGAGGGCGCACUUUGCUUCUCAGGUUUUGGCUCGGGUUGCCUUGAGAUCCCUCGAUGUCACGAUUAGCUCAUAUGCAACCUACGCCUCGGCCGCAAUAAUGGCCUCGGGCCUCGACCCCGCCUUCAGCACCUGGACUUCGCCUCGAAGCUCGUCUAUGAUGUUCGACAUAUAGUCAAUACCCCUCCUGACAUCCAGGACCCGGUCCACCAGGCCCAUCAUGUAGUGAUGGUGUUGCAUUGAGUAAACAUCAUUUAGAAUCCGAGGAAGAAUGAAAAGUGAUGAAAAGCGUCCUGAGUUACUCACCAUGGCUAUGCUCUUAUCGGUGUCGUCAAUCAGCACCUUAGAGGGCGAGCAGUAGAUCUCCCUCACUAUGGAGGGGUAGAGAACCCCCCAAGAGUACUCCAUUGUACUUGACCUGUCGGACCACACCCAGCUACUCGUGAUUAGGGAAGCCCAACACGGCUCCAUUAGAGCAUUUGUAGCCACCUCGGGAAGGUCCGCCAUCUCCAGGGCCAUGAACAGCUCAUUCAUCAUGCGAGCUUUAGUCUAGCAUAGAUCUCGCAUUGACAGAGUCGAGACGCCCCCUUUUCCCAUCGUUCAAUCCUCGGAGUGGGAGAGGCAUGCUCCUAGGCACCACCUUCAGUGAAAGUUACUUCCAAGGAUGCCUCGGCUACCUCCCAAUCCCCCUAAGGGCCCCCUCGAAUAUUUUUCGCACCAUCAUCUUAUGCUUUUUCUUUGGCUAGUCUGACUCGUCAGAUCCUGCCCGAGGUGCUUAGAAGGUUAGGACGAGAGGUUCAUGAGUAAGAGGUGGUCAAGGCCGAGGUGCCAGAGCAUCAAACAUUCCCUUCAUGGGUCGUACCAUGAGGGGGCCAAGCUAAGGCCCGCCUCGACCAACUAGUCCUUGUUUAUUGUCCUAAUAGCUAUGGAAGAGGAGAGGAUCUCCUUCAAGGGUAGGGUAUUAUUAAUGACCCGCGAUAACCACUCGAGGUCGAACUCCCACCCUCGGUUAGUGCUCACAAAGAAGUGACAUGACUUCCAACCUUUAUUAUUCAAGGAGGCAUCGCUCACCCUAAACCCACCUCGGGUAGCCAGAUAAUAGCUGCCCUACCCCUUAUAGAGCCUGAAACAAGUGAAGAGGAGAGUUCGGGUCGGGACAAGCUAUCUUGCUAGCUUGUUAUCUUGCAUUCUUUUUCAAAAACUUGCUUGUCUUCAUACUUCAAAGAGAAGUAACACUUGCCAAAUUGCUAGCUUACAUGUUGUAAACUGAUGUAAAAUUUGGCUAGCUUGCGCUUUGUAAAGGAAGCAAAAAAUUAUACUUCUCAAAAGAGAAAAAAGAACUUACUAUCUUGAACAUCACCAAAAAUUGCUAACUUGCAUAUCUUAAGGAGCAAAAAUACAAACUUGCAAAAUUUAUAAUCUUGCAUAUCUUUAAGAUUAAUGAUGAUUUGGUGAUUAUGCAUGUUGUAAAGUGCUGAAAAAAUUUGUUAGCUUGUAAUAUUGUAAAACUUGCAUAUCUAAAAAACAUGCUAUCUUAUACAUUUCAAAAAUUGCUAGCUCAAGAUGUAAAAUUUAGAAACUUGCACAUUACAAAAGGAAGAAAAACUUACUAGCUUGCACACUUCAAGAAAAUGCAAAAACAAGAUAUCUUACACUAGCAAUGUUCUAAAGUGAUGAAAAUUUUGCUAAAUAGUUAAGCUUUUGUAUUUCUAAAACUUAAUAGUUGCACUUCUUCUUUUUAUUGAUGACAAAGAGGGGAGAAGAAAUGAUGACGUGAGAAUCAUAUGUGGUAGGAUGUUUUGAUAUCAUAAUGAUUUGAAAUAUUUAUGAUGAUGCAAGCAAAACUUAUGAUAAUGAUGCAUGUAAUGCAAUGAUAUGCAUAUAAUGUAUUGCAUAUAUUCAUGAUAAAAUAUUGCUUUGACUUGAAUUCAAGAUUCUAUCAAUAUGACAUAUUGAUAGAGAGAGUUAAGGUUAACUCCGUCAUCAAUUGGUUGUCAUUAUAAAAAAGGGAGAGAUUGUUAAAUCUCAGAUUUUGAUGAUGAAACCAAUUGAUAGUGUUUAUCUGAUCUGCGCUUUGAGUGACGCAAGAAGCUUCGAUCAGGGAGAGACAAUUAAAAGCAGAAAGAAUCAUGUUGAGCUAGAGUGAAACAUGUCAGAAGAUUGGACGUCAAGUCGAAGGAUCGGUCGACGUAUCGGCAGAAGGCUUCGAGCUACAGGUUCGGGCAUCGGGUCAAGAAGAGCAAAAAUUACACCAAGAAAAUUGGAGUUGUGGAUGUCAACUGGCCGAUUGGACAAUAGGCCAUAAGAGAGGAUGAUGAGCUGAAGAAUUGGACGAGGCGUCGAUGAACCAAUGGCAUGCGGACAAUAUUUGAUUAGCUUUGCAAUAAUUAUUUAGAUCGAAGUAGAUUUUAGGUGUAAUUGGGUUGAAAUUGGGCCAACUCAAUUAGGGGUCAUUUGGCUUAAGUUUAGGCUGUGUUGGGCCAAGCAAAAGGCUCAAACAAUGACCCAAUAUAUGGAACCAUCGAUGGCACAAUCUUCGAGACUGUGUCAAGCGAUGGUACCGCCCAAACACAAUAUUUGAGAUUAUGUUAGGCGGUGGUAUUACCCAGUGGUAAGUUGUUAAGCGGUGGUACUAUCAAACUAGGCAGUGGUAUCGCCUAGUGUUAGUGCUGUAGGCGGUGGUAUCGCCCAGCACAAGCGGUGGUAUUUCUAGUACCCAAAAACAAGGGAUGAUACCAUUUUAGGCUCCAAGUUUGAAUCCACUUGAGGCCUAUAAAUACCUCUCUCAUCCUUGGUUAAAAUACACAAGCAUAGAGAGCUUAAAAGUGGAAAAAUGCUAUAACAAUCACUUGAGAGAUCCCCUCAUCUAGUUCUAACUUUAGAAUUCUGUUUAGGGAGAAGUGAGUGCUUGUAAAAGGUUGUCUAUUAAACCUAUGAAAAUGAGAAAAGGGGUGUAAAAGGAUAGUUAAUCUUCGCCCGUUGAAAAAAGAUCGGUAGUGGAAGCCGGUGGCAUCGAGUAAAGAGGAAUCGGGAGUAAAUAUAUGUCACGACGAUCGAACCACUAUAAAAAUAUGGUUUGCAUUUCCUUCAUGCUUUUUCCUUAUAUUGCAAACUAAAUUUUUUACUUUCAUUAUACUUCCAUAUGCUUUCAAGUUAAGCAUCUUUUCGAUAUAUUUUUUUUAUUAGAAAAUCAUGGGGGGCGACAUCACAUGCGCACUGAAAGAAUAGAAAAUAAAAUCCUCAAUUCCCAAAGAUAUGUUCGUCGUCAUGCAAAGAUUGGUACGAAAAAUCUGUGAAACAAAAAAUCAUAUGUGAGAUAGAUUAUGUUACCUAGGGAGAUCGUAUAUCCCUAAAUCCCUACAGAUCUCUAUGAGAUGAUAAAAGGAGGUCAAGCAUCCUUCUCUCAACGGUGAUCUACAUAGCAGGGCUGCGACGUCACUCCUCAAAACUCCAGGCCUGCUAUGAGGUGGAGAGGGGGAGGAGAAUAAGAGAGAUAAGCAAAAGGCUCUAGCCAACCACUGAUUCCCUCCUAUUUAUAGAGGUCCCUUGUCAACUUAACCCUAAUAGAUUCUCUCUUAUUGGGUAUUGGAUCUCUAUCCAACUAUCAAAUCCUCUUAGAUUAAUGGAUCUAUAUCCAAUAAUAUCUUAUGAGAUCUUAUUGGAUCUCAUCUAUAUGAUCCAAUAAUUCAGGGGCUUAUUGGAUAUCCAAUAAGAUAUGGGCUCCGGCGGAUAUCUCAUAUCUGAACCUAUACUUAUCGCAAUGCCUACCAUAUGCGUGUGACCCUUUAGGCCCAAUAUUGAGCUGACCAUGAGUUAUACCUAUCAAAACUCCUUCUAGCUCAAUGAAUUAUUAUAUUCAUAAUAAUUCACUUGACUCAUCGACUAUGGACGUACUAUGCCACUACGCCGUAGUCCCCAAAUAAUACAGAGGAAUCUAAUCCAUUGAACUUGUCUGUCCUUAAUUACCGUGUACCUAUAGCCCCUCAUCUAUCUAAUGUCCUAAAGACCAUAUAUUGGACAUGGUGCUGCCAGACUCAUAUAAUUUCUACUCGAGUCUUGCUCUAAUCAGACUCUCCUGGAGAACUCUUUCUCUCUUAAUCCGAAUGACCAUAACCAGGAAUUUGUUUGAGCAAGAAUGCAUGAGACAUUCCUCUCCUAACCCUGAGAGUGGAUGAUUCUCUAUUGACACUCAAUAGUCCUCGUAUGGUUGGCCACAACUCCUGAUGACCGAUUGUGCUAGAUCUGAGACAUCCAACCCUAUAAGUCUGGUAUCAAAGAGUGGAGCACUCAUACAAGACAUCCUUAGUAUCUCAAGUUUAAGGACCAGAUACACCACUAGGACUACAGAAUCACUGUCUGAUAAUAAGAUAUCAUCAAUCAUUCAGUAUUCUGUAAGCGGAUCAAUUAGUGAACUCAUUCCCCAAUGAGCACCUAUAUUAUAUCCCUAGUGUCCCCACACGAGCAGCUAUGAGACCAGCUGCAUCCAUAAUAUGGAUGGGUAUACAACACGUUAGUUUGUCUGGUUAUCUCGAUGUCUCUCUCGAGUAACCUAUGAUUGAGAUUAUUUAGGAUCUGUGUUUAAAGACGAAUCGGUCUCAUUAACGUGAUCACAUCACGAUCUGAUUCACAUUCCACGGAUCCAAAAACAUCACAAUGUAUAUAUGUAUAUAUGCAACAAGUAAUAUAAAGUAAUAAAUGCUAAAAUAUAAUAAACAAAAAGACUACGUAUCAAAUUACAUGUGUCAUCACUCAUGUAAUUGUCUUGCAGGGCACAUAUGACUAGCAUUUUUAUCGUACGAAGAUUUUUGACUUAACGUAAUUUUACCGUUGCACUAAUUCACACACCCCCCCCACCCCCUCCUCUUAGUGUUGACUCAAUCCUAACAACCCCAGGAUAUGCCUUUGAGGAGGAUGAAUGAUAGAGAAUAUUCUCGCACUAGCAAUAGAGUGACAACUAGCAGCCACCAAGGAGCCGAUGUGGAAUGACCCAACACGUGUCCCAUAGGGAGUGAAGUCGACCUAGCGGGUCGUGCAUAAUCGGCUCCGUACCGCUCAAGACCGUAUAGGUCAGCGCCGUGCAGUAGAGGUCCGAACGAGUCGACUCGCGUUGUCGAGAACGUAUGGGUUGGCCGCUUGCACAUUCCUGCUGAAUAGGACAACAAGGGACAUUAACGUCACAUGUACAUUUGGUCCACCUCCACAAGUAUAAAUGUCGAACCCCCAAACUCGGAGAAAGGGAUCAAACUUUUAAUACGAUAUCAUUCCAUUUGCUAACUUAAGCAUCGGAAUGGUUGAAUAAAAAAUUUCCCUCUUGACAUCAGCCUGUCAUGCAAGAGCGCACUGGAAACAAGACCGAUCAAAUCCCACCUCAGGUCGACCACGAGGAUGUAGCAAGACCCCAUGAUCCGACCCACGACCGAUCUCACCCCCUGGCCUCUUUUUCCUUCGAAGAUCCACGUGGACGAUCUUGCACAUCUAAUCCGGACCAAGCCGUGUCAACUUCCCAACCACAUCAUUCAAUUAUAAAAAAACUAUAUAUAUAUAUAUAUAUAUAUAUAUAUAUAUAUAUAUAUAUAUAUAUAUAUAUAUAUAUAUAUAUAUAUAUAUAUCAUUGCUCAUGCUUGCGUUACUAAACUUCGAGUGAAGAGUUGACUAUAGUCGAUUCACUGUUUGUCAAUCUUGAGCUCUUUAUACAUGAAAGGUUUGGUUAAAGUAGGCCUUGGCAGGAAAUAGUCUAAGAGAAACCAUGAGCAUUUUGAAGGGAUUUGUGUAUGUUGAGGUUAUGGCAAAGAACGAAGCAGAAAGCAUUAGCUCGUACAGUUUGUCAUGUCCUACAUUCUCCAAAUUCUCCUUGUGGACAAAUUAAUUGACAUGCAUAAUUCAAUUCACCACAAUUCUCAAUUCAUGUGGCUCAAAGAUGAGAAAUAUAUACACCAAAGCUUGUUCCAAGAGGAAAACCAGUACAGCCCAACAUGGCGCCCAUAACUAUCAUUUGAAAGCUGUGUACAGUGCCAGAUUUUAUCUUAUUCCUGCCUACUUACAUAACUACACAUAGAUACCUAAUACAAACCAUCAACCAAAUUUACCUACAGUGGGAGCUACUUGCCGAUGCCACAUCUAUUCAUUGCUUCUACAGGUUGCAACAUGCAUGAGAGUGUUCAGGUCUUUGCACACCUGCCUUCUUUCUUUGCAAACCUUCCACGUACGCGAGGCUGGCCUUCUGCCAAGACCUUUCUGCAUACAUACUGCAAAAUGCAGAGUUAUGAUCACUGUGAUUGUAAUUUAAUGAGGGGACUGUUUGGUGGACAGUGUAAGAUGUUGUUCCUCCACAGUUGUGUUUAGUGAAGCUCAAAUGAACCCAAAGGUUGACUGAAAGAUGUCAUUAGCAUCUGAUUGUUUCUACAUCAACUGAUGAAGCAGACAUGAUGUGUGAUAUGACUUAUGUAGGUGUAUAAUUGUCAAUCUAUAUGUAGAUUAUUUGUUCUGGUUGUGAUUGAUAUCAUAGCCCAUCAGAAUAAAAUGGUAACUCACCUUGAUCCUUCUGUGAAAAUUUCUUCUUGUCCUUUUGGUCCUGUACCUGGAAAGCUUUUGGAUUCUUUCUUUCAUCUUCACAUCCUCUAUUGUCGAUGACAACUUAAAAGUAGGGACAAUGUUGAUAUCACCAUGAACAUAGCUAUCAACUCCAAUACUCUGCCAGAAAAGCUCAAAAUCAAUGACCAGUAACAUCUUCAUAAGCUUAAGGAUGCCUCGUAGAAAUUUCGAAACCUUUCAGGCUUAUUUUGUUAAUUGAUGCCAGCUAAAUGUUCAUCUAUCAAUUAAUUGAUGCCAGCUAAAUGUUCAUCUAUCAAUUGAAAGAUGACAGUUCAUACAGGAGGUCAUGAAUUCUUUAACCUGACCUGGAUAUCUCCUUCACUGUAUGUCCUCAUCCCAAACGCAGCCUCAAGAUCCACUUCAUGAACAUCAAGUAAACAUGGUCCGACGCUGGAAGCAUUUGUGCUGUCACUCUUCCGCAAAGGCCCCUCUGCAGAGAAGCAAUUCCUUUCUCCAACCGUAGUUUCUUCUGGGAGCACAAAGUCUGCUACGUCAGGUGCCGGCACAUGAGCUGACUUCACAAGGAGGUCCUUUUCACAGCCAUAGAAGGCCUCACACAGGAGAUCUCCAUUUUGGAUUGACUCCAUAUCUACUAUCUCAAUGUUGUCUGUCAUGAUGCUACUUCCAUAACCAGAUAACAGUACUGAUUCCUCUAGUAUGGGUCUUGGAGCUUUGAACAGAUCUCCUUCUCCUCCCAAGUCAUACUCAGAGAUAGCACAUGUCUGAACCAGAUUACUCUGUCAAAAAUCAAUCAAAUUAAAAGUUCAUUAAAUUUCAUGAACCUCUGAGUUCUCUUCAAGUAUCUCUUUUAAUUUCUUGUGAUCCUAAAACACGACUAAGGAACAGAAUGAUGUAGCUUAGAAGGAAAUGUUGGAAUACUAUUCCUCCACUGAUGAAGCAAUGUGCACUCAAAAAUCCUGAUUGACUACACAACAUAAACCAUGUAGUGAUGAAGUCAGAAUGAUGUAGUAGUUUAUAUAGCAUGAGAUAUCUUUCUGCCUCAAAAGAAGACCAUGCAUAAAACAAACGAAUAAAACACUUAAUCCAUUUUGAGGUACUUCAAAAUAAGACAAGCGUUCUCAUUCUCUUCCAUUCUAUUCUGUGCCAAGAAAGACCAUUUGCUAGUACCUGUACUGUUUAUGACUACUACACCUUCAGACUGGAUGAGAAUGUCCUUCUAAGUAUACAUUUUUAUCACGUGGUUUAAUUUGACAUUUUUCACUGUUAGAACACUAUUAAGAUGUUCCAUACAAAUUGCUGCUUCCAAUAACAUAGAGAUCAAUGAAUUCAACAUCAACAUUAUAUCAGAAAAGAGGAGGAUAAUUAAGAAAACAAGAGAGGAACAGCUUUCUUUUAUAUAUAUAUAUAUGUGUGUGUGUGUGUGUGUGUGUGGAAGCACUCAAGAUCAUAAUGCACAGAAUCAACAAUGCCCAGAAUCUCCUUCCUGCAACUUUUCAUUUCGCAUAAAGCAAAUGAAGUCACUUGGGAUUCCUUUUCCAAAUCAAAUCAUACAUAGAAAUGAUGGUAUACAAGAAUCCACCAUAAACCACCAAAUAUACUUUACUAGCAUGCUUCUUAGGAUUAUCAAACGAAAGGAAAAAGGAGAAAGAUGUUAGUAUAUGUAAGUGUAGGAGAAGGUUACAGGACUUAGUUGAGUAAUGAUCGAAGUUAGUGUGCUGGAAAUUAAGAACCAUGAAAUGAAACAUAAGCAGCAGAACCAAGUAAACAAAAGGGAGGGAACGAGGGAGCAACGCGUGCAUACCAGGUUGGAAGCUGCAGCAAAAGGAAGGUAUGUGGAGAGGCCGAAGUCUCCGACAUCUGUGAACGGAAGGAGAUGGUGAUCUGCCACUGAUGGAAAGCUUUGCAUGGCGUACAUCUAUCUUUCUCUUGGCUUGGAAACUUGAACUACAAGAACGAGAAGGUGGGAAGUAUAUAAUACAAGAUGAUCAUCAUUCAAGAAAUAGGAAAGAUAAGAAAACGACAAAAGUCAGAAAUUAAUUACUUGGGAAGAGUUUUGGAAAUGUGGUUUUGGUCAAAAUCUAAAAUAUACCAUCUUGACUUCAAAUAUAAGUUUAUUAGGGACAGAUAAGAAAAAGACAAAAACCACCAAAUACAUGACUAGGGAAGAGUUUUGGAAAGGUGGUCUUGGUCAAAAUCUAAAAUAUACCAUCUUGACUUUCAAGGGAAUAUAUAUAUAUAUAUAUAUAUAUAUAUAUAUAUAUAUAUAUAUAUAUAUAAUAUAUAUAUGUAUAUGUAUAUGUAUAUAUUGAAUUUUGCUAGCUCCACUUCACCCAAAUAUAAUAAUUUUCUUGACCAGUCAAAGUUUAAGACUCUUUGACUACUAGUCUUUGAUAAGAUGAUAUUAUUGGACUGCAAGUAUAUCUGUGGGGGGCAUAUUUUUUAGAUAGAUUUAUAUAAGAAAUUCUUAACUACAUAAAAAGAUAGAGCUAUAAAGAUGUAAUUUUCUUGUAUCAAUCUUACAAAAUGUUUACUAUUUCUUGUGUUGAGCAUAUUAAGAUAUUUCAUUGAAUUCAUUGUAGAUUUGACUACUAAAAGUAAAAAAAAAAAAAGGACCACGCAAAAUUGUCUAAAGAUGACAUGUAUGUGUGUAGACUAAACCGAAUCGAGACUAGCGAUUUAAUGAUACGAGAAAAGAUAAAAGAAAACUUAAAAAUUGUCACGGGAUAAAAUAACAAAAUCGAGGACUCAUGAUUUGAUAAGUAAUAUUACUCUAAAUAGUGAAUAAUGGAAAAAAAAAUCUUUAAAGGAAUUACAUUAGGUUACGAGGAAAAAAAUCACAUCAUAACCUAACAAAUAAGAGAUGUAGACAUGUUAUGUAUGUGGUGGGUGGGGCUUUAUGUUCUUUUAUCGUCUUAUAUGUGACAAUUUGGCUGGUUGCAGAUUGCCCAUGUUUUGAUGUAGUCUAUCUGCCAAUGUGUCCGUAGAGGUCACUCAAAGGCUACAAGUUACUGAAAAGAGCCUUAUGCUUCCUAUGGACCACAAGAUGAGAUGAUUAAUGUUUAUGAAAGAGAGGGGACGAGCAAGAACAGUAGGAAGUGAUGACAGAUGGAGACGGAGGAAGACAAGCAAAGGAUAAAAAAAUUGGAGUGUCGAAGAUGGACGGAAAAAGACAGUGCAAAGGAAUAGGGGACACGAAAUAACUGGCGCACGACAAAAGAGAGUAUCGAUCGAUCGAGAGAGAGAGAGAGAGAGAGAGAGAGAGAUGAGCAGGAAAAAUAAACAUGAAUUAGUAGAUUUGUUGACCAAAUGACUCAAAGGUGACAAAAGGAAGAACAAUAUGUUACUGACACUGCUGACUACAAGAGGUUUACAGAAGUAUUAUCACUUCGCAUGCAGUUCGGCGUUAUCGAUGUCUUACCAAUCAACAAGGAAGAACAAAAGAAAAUUCUGAGAUCACAAAGAGCCAAAUGGAUAUAUUUCAGGAUAAUCUUUCACGUGCCACUACUUGUUUCUAAAAGUAAUUUGCUUAUGGCUACGACAGCACCCUCCACUGCCUUUAGUCUGCCCGUGGGAAGCAGUAACAUUGUUCUUCAAGUCAUUUCUGACCUGUGCCCUUCACUGCUUCUUUGUCUUCUUCUUCUUCUUCCUCACGAGGGCUGUAAGCAGUACUCAUACUGUGCGAGGAGAAUAGGUUGGCUGACCUUUCGAAGGGCAUAGACUAGUUGUGGAGUUGGUACAGCUAAAAACAUGCCUUUAGCAAACUGGAGAGCUUAAGGUGAUAGUUAUGAUCUUAUUGGCUCAGCUAAAAGUUUAAGGUGAUAGAUAUGAUAAGAUAAAUUUAAUAAUGUUGUUAACACUCUCAAACAUAUCUUGAGUUCAUAUAUUUUUCCUUGUAGAAAUUAUAUUACGACUAAGCUUUAUGGCCAACGAAUGAAUAUGAUAAAAUUAAUUCAAAUAGUUAAAAUUAGAUAUAAUAAAAAAUAAGAAUUUAGAUUAAGAUAAAUAGAUGAGUGAUUAGUCUUUUGGUAUGGAUGAGGAUGAGGAUGGGAGAUUUGUUGGACUAUGACUAGUAUUUUUAUUAUUUAAAAAAAAUAUAUUUUAUUCCUUUGGCUAACAUAUGUAUGUGUUCUUAGAUGAGUCCAUGUAGAUUGAAAAUACUUAUUGUUCCUUUUUACUAUAUUCUUCCCUUUCUUCUUGAAGUUUAAGUCAACAAAUGUGAUAUCAAAACCUAGUUCCAAGAAGAUCGAGUCCAUUAAAAAAGAAAAAUAAAUAAAUUCAAAAAAAAAUAAAUAAAUAGUAGAUAUUGGAGUAAGUGUUUCUAAUCAACUUCUUCCUAUCUUCAAAAAUAAAAAUUAUCAGUUUUAGACUGUUAAAAUAAGAACACUAUUUAGUUCACGAGGAUGAAUUUGGUAUAAAAUAAUUUUAUUGAGUAUAAUAUGCAGGAUCUAAUAUUACUGAAGAUCAUAUAAAUGAGAAUAUACAGAAAGAUGCAUGAGCUCUCUAUAUACUAGAGUCCUUAUUUUUUUGAAUUAUAUCGAUCAACAUCAAUAGAAGCUUAGAAAAUAUUAAAAAGUAUGUUUGGAGGUACAGUAAAGUAAAAAACUUUAAAAUUUUAAAUUAUUCCACGUGAAUUUGAAACUGAUGAAAGAUUCUAAAUUUAUCACUAAUUUUUUUCUUAGAAGUCUCUUCUAUUAUAAACUAAAUGAGGUCUUAUGGUGCAAACCUAAGAGAUCAAAUAAUAGUAGAAAAAGUUUUACAAAGUUUAUCUUUAAAUUUUGAUAUGAUUCCUACUACUAUAGAAGAAUAUAAAAAUACAAGUAUAUUGUUUGUUGAUGAAUUAAUGAGUCGCUUUUAGUUCAUGAACAAAAAGUAAAUAAAUCUUCAGAUAAAAUUUAAUAAUAUGCUCUUCAAAUAAAAAUAGAUUAGAAGGAUAAAAAAAAAAAUUAAAGACUAGAUCUCAAUGAAGACAUCAGAAUGAUAGGAGUUGUGGAUAAUCCAACACUUAGGUAGGAGAUGAGGUUGAUCAAAUGAGAGUCAAAGGAACUCUAAUUAAAGUAAUAAAGAAACUCAUUAAUAUUUUUAUCAUAACAAAAUUAGAUAUAUCGAAAAAGAUUUUUAGUACAAAAUUAUUAUAUUGAUAUUUGAGCUGAAAUUUCAACAUAGCCUUUAGUAACUAAAUAGAUUUUAUAUUUUUUUAUUAUUAAAUUUGAUCUUAUACACCCACUUAAGUCCAAUUUCUUCUUUUCAUGGGGGCAAAUAAUUCUAAGUCUUAAUCUUGGCUCCAGGGUGAUUUCAUGGAUAACAAAAAAAGUACAAAUAUGUUGCUCUCUCAAGCUCUAAAGCGAAAUAUGUUACGACUCUAAGUAUGAUGUGUCAAACAAUUUGACUUUAAAGAAUUUUAAUAGAUCUUCAAGAAAAACAAGAUAGACUAACUAAAAUCUGCUAUGAUAAUAAGUCUAUUAUUACUUGACGAAGAAACUUAUCUUCCAUGAGCAUACUAGACACAUCGAAGUUCUAUAUCACUUUAUUUGUGGACUGGUUGAUAAAGAAAAAUUUUUAUGUAUUACUGCAACAUCGAAGAUUAGCUUACUGAUAUCUUUACAAAAGCUUUAGCAAAAGAAAAAAAUUAUUUUUUCUAUAAACAACUUCAAGUUACAACUAUUUUGAAUUAAGGAGGUGUGAUAAAAUUAAUUCAAAUAAUUAGGAUUAGAUAUAACAAAAGAUAAGAAUUUAGAUUAAGAUAAAUAGAUAAGUGAUUGAUUUUUUGGUACAUGAAUAAGGAUGAGAAGAUUUAUUAAGUUAUAAUUGAUUUCUUUCUUAUUUAAAAAUUUAUAUUUUAUUUUUUUGGUUAAUAUAAAUACAUGUCCACUAUAGAUCGAAAGUAUAUUUUAAUUAUUAUUAUCUUUUUCUUUUCUUUCUAGAGUUGUGCAGGAAGCCAACAGGAUACUGCAGCAUAAUUAAGCUAAGACGCGUGAUCGCAAACAACAACAACAACAACAACAACAACAAAAUGCUCCUGAGUUCAUGACAUGCCUUCUUUUUACUGAUACUGUUCGUCGUCACUAUCGCUACCUUCCUCACAACGUUACUGAGCUCCCCCGUGAAGUGAUGCAUCUAACAAAGGAUAAGGAUUCUAAUCAUCUGGUCACCUUUAAUGAGCCCCAAACCCCAAGUCUAAGGAGGAGGUACCAAAGAAAUGUGAUGCUGAUGAGAAUUAAUGUGUCUCUCUCCUUGUGCAGUCCUAUUCCCAGCUUCAAUCAUGGUACGAUGUGUUUUGUGUCGUUUGAUUUUGGCCGUCCGAUGCCGCGGUCUUGUUACCUUCUGCCGGCCUCCCAAGUGUCCCGGUCCCUCAUCACGUUGGCCUGCCUCCAUGGGACGACAACCAGAUCUCCUGUUCCAGCUCGGGCAUCCGAAGCAUGAUUCAUGAACUGCUUGAGAUGAUCACCCAAUGCUGUACAUGGGGACAAAGAAGUGUCCCCAAGUGCAGGACAAGCUUUCUUCGCCGCCAAUGAUGUUCGUCGUCCAUUUCCACUGCCUGCAUCAAGAGCUUGUUUCCAUGAAAUGAUACUCUGGCGACUAUUCUAAGUGCAUUAUCCGUGACUUGAAUCUUCUUCCACUUGUGCAGAUCAAGUUAUCUCCCAACUCUAUGUCUUUUGUCUCUUGCUCUGAAGGUGGAGCCGUCUUUGACUCGUCGAGUCCCCUCAGGAAGUAUGGUUGAGAUGCGAGAUGGGAGAUGAGAGGAAUUCGAUGGUUGGAUACUUCUCCGUACACAAAGUGGAUAGAAUCCAAUUUAAGUCCACCAUGUUUUGGACGAUUGUGGGAGGCUGUGUGACCUUUGUGCUUCACUCGGAAACGGCCAAGCAGAAGACGUUGCUCUCUUCAUGUCAAGUCUCGAUCCGUCCUCAACACCCAACUAUGAGCUUCAUGCAUCACACAGCAUCUAGGUUGUUGAUUCUCGUGCACCACCUUUGAUGCAUUUGUAAUGUCGUCAUGGCCAUGGGGGGGAUCACAUUGCCCGACGACAGCUUUGGUGGGUCUCUGACCGUCAUGGGUUUUCCGAAAUGGUAAGGUCCAUCAUUGCCUGGAAAUGGUAAAAUCCUCAUUCCAUCGCAAUCAACUUUUCCGUACGUAGUUGAUGCCACUCUCAAGUCUAGGGUUUCUGCAUCAAAGACAAGUCCGCAAGUAUAAUGGUUUUUCCUGCACUUCUCCCUAUCUGAACUAGGGUUUUGCUACUGAAUUGGCUAGGCUUUCUGUGACAAGAGAAUCUGACCAUUGUGUAGGGAACUUUUUCGUAGGAGCCAUGAAGAACGCCCUGUAGCUUGAGCAGUAUUCUUAUUGCCUUCAAAUUUAGCUUGCCGUGAUCUAGGUUGAUAAAUUUGAUUGUGGUGGAAAAACUCUCGGAGAUCAUAGUUGCUCUCUCUUCUACUGUGAAGAUCUGCUAAAAUGGACUACAUGGAUAACAGAUUGCCUUCAUGGUGUCUUUGGAAUAUAUGGAUAAACAGAUUCUACUACUAAGUGAGCCCAUGGCUGUAGGAUAGAGUAGCAGGUAGGGAAUUGACUUGGGAUGUGAUUGAUUGAAUGAUUCAAUCACAGGAUAUGAUGGAGAAGCUAGUGGAGGAAGAUGAAAGGAGUAAGGUUGCAUCACAGGUUAGGAUGGAGACAAAUGUCUAUGGCCAAUCAAGUUGUGUGAUUAGUAGAUAUGCGAAGAAAGAGCAACUGUCAUAUCUUGCCUCAAUUCUUGUUUUAUAUAUAUUUACCGAGUCACCCUUGGUGAGUCAGCUCGGGUUAACUGCCAAGUACCAGUUGAGUGAUAAGGAGUCCGGAGUUGAACUGCUGUGCUGCAGCCGGGCCGAACAAACCCUGAAAACUAUCAUGUGUGUGGUCAGCCUUCCACUGUUUUAAGGGUGACUCGAUCCGACCCAAUCGAAACACGGACUCGAUUCCAAUCUCGAUCUUGACGAAAGCGGUUGUAGACGGCGACGAAAAGCCCAUAGACGUCGAUGGCUUCCCUGACCUUGGACAACGCCCUCCUCUCCCUCGUGGGCCUUCUUCUCCCCCUCCGGCUCCUCCCCCUGGGUUACCGUCUCCUCCUCCGAGGAAGAGGAAGAUGGCGCGGCCUCGGCCGGUCCGGAUCGGCCCGAUCCAUCGUCCUCCUCGCCUCCUCUGCUGUCCUGCUCACCGCCAUCUUGGGGAUCUCCGACACCUCGCCCUCCGGAAGUGGUGCCCUGAUCUCCGAGAUGGAGGACCUGAGGCUCAAGACUGCUCGAUUAGGUUGUUCAUCCUGAAGCAUAAUUCCCACUCCCUCCUUGUUCAAUUGCGAUUCCGUAUUACGUAUGCUUCAAUUCAAAAGAUGAGAAGUGUUCUAGAUAAAGAGAAGAUAUUCCAAAGUUAGGACUACGUUGGCUACUAUUCAAAAGAUGUUUUUGUUAUGGUAAUAGUUGAUAUUUUUGUUUAGAAUUGUUACCGUUGAGAAGAUUAAGUUUCUAACCUAAGAAAAUGUUGAAAAUAGGUAAAAUUAGCAAAUGUCUUUGAGAAAUUUCCCAUUCUUUAUAGGGAUUUUCUAUGAGACCCUGGGAUUUUAGGGAAACAUUUUUUAAAAUCCUACCCAAGAAUUUUACUCUUCAAGCAAGUUUAGUUUUACAGGCACUACUUCUUUUUAUUAUCAAAGAUAAUACUUUCUAAGCAUGUAGAUGCGGUGGAAUAGAAACUUUUUUUUUUUUUAAUGUUGCAAUAGAUCAUCAGCAUUGAUCAGUUGAUACUUUUAAUUUCCUGAUUGAAAUUGCUAACCCUUUUCGCAAUUCAUGAACAAUGACCAGAGUAUCCAUUUAUUGAAUUGGAGAGUUUGACAUUUAGUAGGAUGGAUCAGCUAAUCUUAGAAAUAUAUAUUGUCACUUAAGGGACUUGAAUAACAUAAAUAUGGUCAACACUACUUACCUUUUUCUUGUGUAUACAGAAGUAUUGUAGUUAAACAAGAGAACCUCAGGAUAAUAUGAAACUAGCAGAAAGAUGAUAAAGUGUUCGUGAUAUACGAGAUAGCAUUUUUCACAUUAGUUAUGUUGUAUCUGACAACAUUCUAGCAUUGUCAGAGUAGUUCACCAGGCCUUGAUUUGCGGUGAAACUAGGUGGGCCAUGGAAAAUGUCAUGAACUUGGGAGAAUCAAGUUCUCCAUCUAAGAAACAAAAAUUGGCAAUUGUGAUGUCAUCCAAAAGGUUUUUGCAGAAUACCAUUAUACUCUAGAUUUUGUCAUGAUGUUUAUGCAUUUGAAAUUGGUUAUCAUAAAGAUGUCAAAAGUCAAAUAUGUAGAACUCCAAAAAUUCUAUUAUACUUAUUUAAGUGAGUUGUUGGUAAACAUUGUAGAAUCGAUUCUAGAAGAGAGUAUGGAAACCAUAAAUUCCAAAGAAGUUCAUUUAGAAGAGAAGUAUAAGCUAAUUGGGGAGAUGGAAGAGAAAAUCCAACUUCUACAGAAUGCUCUACAUGAAAUUAAGGUAUGCAUUUGAUAUUCCUUAGCAACCAUUUUUAUUGUCCCCAGCACUACAUUUUGUUUGGACACAUUCAUAUUGCAUUUUUGUUUAGGUUUUAAGUUUUACGAACUUCAAUGUGUACACAUUUUGUAUUUGAACAUUAAAUUGAUACAUGGCUUAAACAUAUUGACGUAGGAGUACGACAAGUUUUGUUACCAAAUUUUAUUUAGGACAAGUUCAUGACAAGUAAAUGAAAUAUUUUCUAAAUUGGGAAUAAAAGAAGGGAAAGAGAGGGGCAAAGUAAAAGAACAAUAGCAGUGAAUGAUGGUAGAUAACUGAAAAAAACUUCCAUACUCACUUUGACUCAAGGAGAAACUCCCAGUGAUAAAGGUCACACGCCCCUGUACGACUCUCAUGUUGAUGAUGGAAUGAUACAUUAGAAAAAGAAUUGCGGUUUUACACCACUCUCACAUGAUGUGAAAAAAAAGAAAAAGUAGCUCGUGAUCAUCAUUUUACAUAAAUGUAUAGUAGCAUGCUUAAUCUCCAAGCCUGCCCAUCCUAGAUUCUGAUCAUGGUUCCAAAUAAGCAAUUAGAGUAACAUUAGUGUCGUUCUUAAACUUGAACCAAAUAGGAAAAAGAAGCAAGAACAGCUUGCAAUUUCGAAGUGAAUACCAGCUUGUUUAAUCCCCAGGUCAUUCCUCAGGUGGCUUUCAGUCAGAUUGUUACUGCAAAGAAUUUGAUAGGACAUAAUAUCACUAUCCUUAAACUUUGUCCAGAAUAGGGUUUUGAGGCUGGUUUAGAGCCAAGUCAUCACUUAUCUUGAGUGUAAGGAACUUAUUGUAUGACAACUUGAUUUGACAACCAAUGAGUGAAAACAGAAACCAUUUAUCUUUGGACUUGGUUGUGCUAGUUGGGUUUGUGGCUGUGUUUUUAAUAGGCGCUAUGGCGCUCAGGCACUCGGGCUUCGCACGACCAGGCAAUGCAAUUCAUUGAAGCGUCGCCUAAGCGCUUCUGGCAAGCGCCUGAGUAAAAGUGGCGUAAGACAAGAAAUUGGAAGAGAAAGGGGCACUAACCUGAAGGCGAAUAUAAUAGAAUCGAUCAGUGCUCGGCGACAGAGAAUCGAUCUGUGCUCGGUGGCAAAUGGGAGGGCAGAAGAUGUGAUCUCAUUAGAAGGCAAAAAGCUACGAUUUUAAAAGCAAGAUGGGGGGAUGCAAUGGCAAAAGACGCGAUGGAUGGGAGGGUAAAACGCAAAAGUGAUCUCAUUAGAAGAUGAAAAGAUAAGGUUUUGAAGGCGGUGGAUGGGAGGGAGAAGACUUGUUGGAAGAUGUGAUAUCUCUCCUCUCUCUUUCUCUUUCACGGUAUACCUUUUCUCACGCCCAAGACGCGAUCUGUGAUGGACACAAUAAAUAGCACUCUUCUUCUAAUUCCGUUGCGUCAAGAUGCCAAUUGACUCAUCUAUUUCUAGAUUUGGGUCAGAAAUCAUCCUCUCGAAUGGGAUUAAGCUCAAAUUAUGAGUCAAGUUAGGCAUAGCAGUCAAAGAAUUAAAUCUUGUAAUAUAUAUUUCAAGUCGGCUAUGUGAUUUCAAUUUGAUGUGGUAUUUUUAUUUUUAUUUCUAUGAUCAUAUUUAUGAAUUAUAAUAUAUAGCUUUUAUAUUUUAAUAUUUUGAAACGCCUUGCUUCACUUGUGCCAAUGCCUAGUGCCUCAAGCUUUUUGAGACCUUGGCGUCUUUUGGCGCCUAGUGCUUUUUAAAAUACUGGUUUGUAGAAUGUUGCAAAUGGAAGAACUCUUAAGCUCUUAAGUGUAGCAUUAGGGGAAGGAUCUGGAAGCACCUUUUGCAUUUUAGUAUCAUCACAUUUUGCAAUUCAAUGCCCCUGCCUGGGGCUAAUACGAAUGGUAAUAAUGGUCUAUGAAUAUAAACAAUGGUCGGAAACAAUAAUGUCAAGAGAUUUGUGACAUGACAUAGAGGAAUGGAUAUAUGACGCUAUUACAGAUUCGAAUCUAUUGCCAUAUAUAGAUGGAGAGAUUUUGAAGUGGUUUUCAACGGUGGUGAGGUUGGAUGAAGGGGUAAUUGGGAGUUCAUUCUUGAAGGUUCAUAUCUAAUUGACUUGUAUGUCCUAUGAGUAGACAGUUGGAUUGGUUGUUCGACUGAUUGAAGUGAAGUUGACCGAGCUUCUAGUUAUAUUUUCGCAGCAAAAGCUUGGUUCAAUUUGAUUAGCAGACCCAAGCUUUCUCAAGAUGUGUUGGGUUUCGAUGAUUGAGGUUGACCUAACUGAUGUUGCAACCUUUAAGUUUGCCACCCUCUCCUUUUUUUUUCCUUCUCCUUUUUGUAGUUAAGUUUGUAGAAUUUCCUACUCCCCUCCUGUUGUUUCCUUCCCUUGCUCAUACUUGCACUAUUUUAUUUUGACUACUACUCUUUUUCUUCUUAUCCCUAUCCUUUUUACCUGUGUAGUGCCUCCUUUAUAUUGAAAUUUUCUCUAAAGAUACCUUGUUAGUCUCCAUCUCCUUUGCUUAAUUUUUUAGAGGUCCACUACAUCACACUUACCCAUUAUUGUCUGGAGCAAACUAAAAACCUUUGUUUUAUUAAAUAAUAAAACAAUAAUUAUGUCAAGAAGAUAAUUUAUGAAAAAUUAACACUAGGGAUUAGUGAGGUCGAUGACUAGUGCAAGUACUCUGACCUGCAAGAAAUUAUUGGCUCUGGGAUUAAUCUCAUACUGUCUUGCCCUUUCAUGGUGGACCCUAAAAGAAACUCUGAAGGUAUUGUAGUGACUAAAUGCAGCCUCGUUAGGGAAUAAAUUGUAGAACACCACUAAAAGUUGUGAAGCAUCAACAGAGCAUUUUUGAAGAAUUUAUUGAGGUAUUGAGUAUUGGCUCUUUAUAGGGUAUUGAGUCUCCCUACUCUUCAAUCAUUAUGAGACUAAAUGCAGCCUUGUUAGGGAUUAAAUUGUAGAACACUACUAAAAGUUGUGAAGCAUCAACAGAAGAUUUUUGAAGAAUUUAUGUUCAAUUGUCAGCUUAACAUAAGCAUAUUAAUUGGUCCAAAAAUUCUAGUCUAAGGAAAUUUUUGCCAUGUUCUAUUUGUUCCAUAUUCAAAGUGGUUAUUUUCAGUUUAUUGUGCUUAAGUUUAAUUGACCUGUCAACCUACAUUUCCAUCAUGGAUUAGUAGAGAACUGAGAAAUGAUUUCUGAUGUUGUUUAAAUCAUGAUUAGAAAGGAAAAAUUAAGGUCUUGUUCUUUAGUGGGCAUAAUCUGUAUCUUUUAAUUGAUUCACGAAUUAAUUUUCUUUCAAUAAUUUAGCUUGUGACAUAGGUAGGUAGUCAAUGGAUGGAUGAUAACUAUAUUAAGUUGUUUCUUGCAGGGAUCAGUUAGUGACUUAUUAAAAGCUGAAGACCGGAUUAGUGCUCUGGAAGAAGAGGUCUCUCUCUCUCUCUCUCUCUCUCUCUCUCUUAUUUUUCCUUCAUUCAACUGUAUAUGAAUAUAUCUGCAUGAUGUAUGCCUGUGUGGUAGGUGGGAAUGAGUCUGUUGUUACAUGGAGCAUGCUUCUCAGUUUGUUGUGCUUGUACUCCAAUAUCUUUGAAUUCAACUCUCGAGUGCUGUCUUUGAGCUAUCUAUUCUUUUGAUACAUGAACUUGAAUUGUUUGCAGGUUCAACUUCUAUUGGAGCAGUCAAUGAAGAAUGAGAAUAACAUCCAGACUUUAGAGUCAUCAGCAGAUGAUGCAAGCCAAAAAAUUGAGGUCACAGAUUAUGAGAUCAAAAAGGUCAUUUUUUUUAGUCAUAUGUGCUUGUUUUUAGCAUUAUAUUUCAGUAAAAAAGAAUGCUGAUGUGAAAAUUAUGCUGUAAGAAUAAAAUGCAUCACUGUUGUCACUGGUUUUAUUGGUUGCUUCAAUUUUUUUUUUUUUCGAAUUACAGGAUAGCUAUAUCUUGUGGAUUUCAAAAUAUUGCAGAAUGAACAUUUCUGAACAUAUUGGCCUGUCCUAGACAAUGCAGAACAAACUUUUGAAAUUGUGGAAUUAGCUACUGGGACAUCCUGGUCUUUGGACUGUUAAAUUAUAUGAGGACUCAAGGUCAUGCUGCUGGGUUGGAAAUACAUGUCAUUGCUGGUAUGGUAUGGCAUGCAGUAUGUACCUUAAUAAUGGUCUUUGGGCUAUGUAGAAUUUUCCACCAGAGACAGUUAAAACCAUCUUGAAACCAGGGAUAAAAGUUAAACUAACUUCAAACAAGUAGGUGGGAGUUUAGAUUCAAAAAUCUUUUUCAUCAGAAAGGGUCAAUCAAGGGCAAAGAAGUUAAAAGCCCAUUUGAAAUUUGGAUACAUCUGCCACCUUGACAAAUCAUGAUAAACAAUUAGCAUACUGAAUACCAAUUGUUCUUCUAUAUAAUAGCCCAACUACAUAGUUAAAUGAUAGGGUGAUACAUUUAGUUUAUUGAUGUACAGGAAUAAAGUGUAUAAUUUUGAUACACAAUCUCGCAUUUGUUAUCCUUUUGUUUAAAAGAGAGCGUAACCUUUCAUUUGGAAGCAGUUGUAUAUGUUUGACCUAGACCUGAAGAUGCUUGUAGGACAUUCAAAUAAAAAGUAAAGUGAAUUCAUAUUAGUUUUGGUUAGCCUUCUAUCAAUGAGAAGUUAUAAAAUUCCACAUCUUUACUUUUAGCUAAUCAAAUUGUUUUCCUAUGAUAUUAGCUUAACAAACAACAUAAAUAUCUUUUAACAUCACCUAUGUGAUAUUUCUGAAAUAAGAUGAGACAUAGCAUGCAGUUGAGUAAAAUUAUUCCUGCAGGAGCUUUCAAGAUGCAAUUUAGUUUUUAACUCUUUUAUUAUCUUUAUGAAAAUUAAUUCUUAUUUUCUAAACUCCAUUUUGAUGAAGUCAAAACCAUUUUUAUAUGAAAUAAAUUAUUAGACUUUGGUACUUUUAUGACCAGAUGGACAGUAUUGUUACAGAACAAUGGAUUCAAAUACGGCAAUUAGAGCAGGCAUUUCAAUUAACAAAGGUACAUUGUUACUGCAGUAUAUGUGGUUUUACCAUGGACAUACUUGCUGAAUACUUCCAGUUAUUAACUAUAAGCUUAUCUAUUUCCUAUGUUGUUACCUAGAUGAUGACAUCAAAGGUUCUUAGAAGAAGUCUACAAAAAGAUAUGAACAGAAGUAGAAGGCCUAGCAAGUUUGCCAUGAGCAAGGUACUUGAAUAUUGGACUUUCAUUUCUGCUGAUAGUCUAAAUAAUGCAACUAGAGAUGGUCCUUUGGUUUCAAAUAUUACAUUAUUUUGGACAAACUUUUGUGUCUAAUUAAUUUGGUUCUAACUAAGCUAUGAAAUAUUAAAAAUUAUAAGUCCGGAAAACAUGUAUAUGGUAUACCAUGUUUCAGUGUUGUGAAUCACAUCAUCAUCAUUGGAAUAGGAUAAUAUAAAAUUAUAGAAGUUUGUUGAAAGAUCUCAAAUUUGUUGCACUUUGUUGAAAUUAAGUUACAUACAGUAGUAGAAUCAAGGAUUUUUCAAUUGAACUUUGAACAACAAGGAAUAUGUUUUGGUGCUUCACAUAAUUUAAUAAACUAUGUGAAGUUUAUUUGAGCCUUUUAUUCUGUCGUGCUGAUUGCAGUUGCAGGCUAGAUUUUUUUCUGCUUAUCAAAUGGUUUAAUACAUUCAAUUGCAAAUUUUUGGAAGUUGUAGUAGGCAAGAAUAGGUGCUACUGGAAGAUCAAAUUGUUUUGUUUUGACAUCUUCCUAGUUGAUGCUGAUAGCAGACUUUGGAUCGGUUGUUCCUGAUUAGUCCAAUGUCAUGCUAGGUUGUGCGAUUCAUCAGGGGCAUUUGUCGAUUUCAUCUCUCAGAAGUUAAUCUACCUGAUUCAUUCUUUCUGAGGGCUUCUUUUUCAAAAUCUUCUAUAUCUCAAGCAUACAAUCAGCUCAAACUCCUGAUGUCAGUUGCUCAAGAAUUUCACUAUGAGGUGCUAGUCUUUCACAUUAUUCUCUUAUUGAUUGUCAGAUAUAGUUUCUUAUCUGUGUGGAUUGCUUUUACCAUUCUAAUAUCUGGAUAUUUCUGCAUCUGUAAAUAUAACCAAUGAUAUCAGGAUAGGAUAUCCUAUAAUGAUAAGGCUUUGUUUGAUAAGUAUUUGUGAUGCAAAUUCUUUUGUUUCUGGAAUUUCUUAUAAUUUUUUGUUCUCACUAAAACAAUAGUGUUUAUCUCAUGCAUGAAGCUCUUUUAGCAUAUCAGUGAAUAACUUUUUUACAUAAUCAGCUGCAAGCAUUACUAUAUACGAUGGCUUCCUUGCAUGUCAGGAUUUGUUUUGUGCUUUUGCACCUGCUAGAUACUGUCAUAUUCCAGAAGUUUCAGACUACUUGAGUUAUACGGAUAUAGCAUCCAACUUCUGGAGAUAUGAAAAAAAGUGGUUACAAGCUUUCAGCCUUUUGUUUAUGCUUCUUAUAAGUAAAACAUUGUAUGCUGUGUAUUUCUCUUUUCCUCUCCUCUGUAUAUUCUCUUCAACCUGAAAUGCUUCCUGAGGCCUUUUUUUUUGGGGUUCUGCUUGAUGGAGUCAUCUUUAUGAUUGAUAAGAAAUAUAACAAAACUCUACUUAGGCUUUCCAAGUAGGACAUCAGUAUCCUUAAGAAUUUCCCGUGUGGCAAUACUAGCUACAUCUAACAUUAUUCCUUGUGCAAUUUUUCCAACAUGUUUAUAUUGCAACCUAGACUAAACUUCCUUCGUAGUGUCCACUGAACUAUGCUCAUGUAAGUAUGCUUCAAAUGACUAGUCAAUUCAUACCGCACACAUAUCCUUCAUCCCUCAGAUAUCUUGCUGGUUGCAGUCCUUUCCCUCCCCAUCAAUAUGUUAACUAGCUGCCUCAUGCUCCUUAAUGUUGUUCAAAAGUCUGGAGUGAGAAUACCUUUACACUGGAACCAAUGCUACCAAACUAUAAUAUUCUCGGUGAUCAAUCUAAGGGACUUUGGCUGAUAAGUUCAAGGUAAGGUUAGUUCUGUUCAUAAUGGUCAAUUCUUUUGGCUGAUGAAACUUCAAUCAGUUAACAUGAUGCUGGAUUCUUUCCCUGUUAGAUGCAUUACUAAUCAUCGUCUUUGAAGUUUAAACUUGACCUGAUAAAUAUCAGUUCAUUUCUUUCAGCUACAAGGUUUUAUUAAACAUGAGAUGAAAAUGCAUGAGCUCACUGCAGGUCUUGCCAACAAUUUGGUCAUCUUUAUUCUGGUAAGUCACCGCAACUUUUUGCUGUCAACCAGUAUCAAAUCCUUUGCAUCUUCCUUUUGUACUUGCUGGAAGUUCAUAUCUAACCAUGCUUUGGUGAUCCAGGCUUCAACUUUGAUGAUUGCACCCAUAAUUUUUGCUUGGAAUGUCUCUUCAUCAUGCUUCAGCUUAUUGAAAAGAUGACACUUGUCGAUUUAGCAAGCAGAGAUGAAGGUCCACCUUUUGUAAAACUAGUAUAUAGUUGUGUAUGUACUUCCCUUAGUGAGCAAGUUGUUUUUGUGUUGCAUAAAAUGCCUUUAUGUGAGUAGGCAUCGUUCUUAGCUGUACAUGGGGUUGAAUCUUGGAUUAAAUUCUCAAUUUCGAACAUUUUACUCACUCACAUUACGUGUUUAUGCAGCUGAUGACAUGCAAACCCAUUGGAUUGUGUACAUACAGCAAUCUUUGUUGGCUAAUUGAUAGUAUCAAAAGAUUUGGUUGGAGAUUCAUAGAGUAAGAUAUGUGCACUCAAAAUAUAAGAAUAGAUUAAUAAUCUCUUAUUGAUUGAGAGAAGAUCUAUAAUCUCUCAAUCAUGUCAUGUAUCAAUACAUUCGUAUCUCUUAAUCAUAUCAUAUAUCAACACAUUCGCAUACCCAUAUAUCGACGUGUAAGAGAUACUAUCAAUUUUAUAGUCGGGAGUAGAGAGUCUAAGAUAAGUAAAUAAGAAAAUUCUUCCCAUCAACAUCAUAUCUUAAGAAAUUCUAUCAUAAUUAAAAUUUUUUUUCUAUUGGUCAAUAACCAUAAUCAAAAUUUAAUCAUAUUCAUAAUAUAUCUUAUCUAAGAUCCAUAUAAUCUAACAUAUGAAUCCUUAACCAAAAUAAAUGGACAUUUCACUUGCCAAAAGUUCUCAGUUUUCUCCAAUAAUUCAUCUAUCAAUCACUUGAGAUGACAAAUGAAUAGGAAAUAACCAACAAUUCCUGAAAGAAAUGAAAGACCAUAAAAAAUAUGAACUCUGGAGUUUAUUGUAUUUAGAAAGAUACCAAAUUCAUGACAUAAUAAUAACCUCACAUAAAUCUGCAAGUAGGAUGUACAAGGCAGUUUCAACAAUGGGUUGCUGAACAUCAUAUCUUGCAAGCCUACUAAGAUAUCUCUGCUUGCUUGUUUUUCUGAUCACCAUAUGCAACUACAAUUAUUUUGUGGAGUUGAGUUGUUGAUCACCAACCCAGUAGACUACUUACUGGUCCCUGCUUAUGUGCUGUUCUUCGUGUGCCGGUGGCAGAAGGAUUUGAGCCUACCAAGACCUUCUUCGAGAGAAGAAGGGUCCAUCGCAAAUGUUACUCGGAGCCAAUUUUUCAUCCCCACUGUUACCCCUGCACCGAACCUCAAAGUGGUAAAUCUUUUACUUACAGCAAUACUAACAACAAGCACAAAACUUACACUGAUAAGAAUUAGCAAAUAAAAAGAAACAAGCUACAAGAAGAGAGACUGGUUCGACAUGGUCCUCAGCAACAUAUAUGACAGCAUUGUCAAUAAAGAAAACAAACAAAGCGAUGUUUACGAACAGUCUUAAUGCAGUAAACAACCAAAGAUGAUCAAAAGAAAGUGUUACACAAAAUUUCAUGUGUACCAUAGAGAACUCAGUUAUAGCCGGAGUGUUUUUUUAAUUUAAUAUGUAUACCAUAUGUCAUAAUUGUAGAUUUUUUUUAAGAAUAGGUGCAAUGAUCAAACAAAUCUUCAAUAAAUGGAGAUAUAAAUUUGUAAUUACCAUAUCAAUCAUAUGAGGUCAAAGAAUAAAUCUGAAUUUGGACAUGUAAAUUACGAGGCACUGAUGACCAAACCUACAUGCAGUUGAUCAAUAAAAGGUCAAUGGAUAAAUCUGAAUUUGAUGCUUAUAUCAAGGUAGGUAAUACCAAGGUCCGCCAUAUCGUACCGUACCAGAGUUUCGACCCGGGCUCGGUACGGUACGGUACCGGUAUACCGGGCGGUACACCCUGGUGUACCGAUACUGUAGCACUGCUACAGUGCUACAGUGUAGUUCUGUAGCACUGUAGCGGUAUAGGGUGGUCCGCGUACCGAGUACCUGGCGGACCGGUACAUACCGCCUGGUACGGCCGGUACGCUUCGGUACGACAGACACUGGGUAAUACCAAAUGAUACCGCCCGAUACGGGUGGUACGUAUCGGUCCAACGACAUACCGGUACGCGGACCACUCGCUACCGGACGAAACAAAAAAUAAUAAUAAAAUUAUAUAUAUAUAUAUAUAUAUAUAUAUAUAUAUAUAUAUAUAUAUAUAUAUAUAUAUAAACGAGACGACGUCGCCGAGACAAUGCAACGUCGCCUUUUAAAUUAUAUAUAUAUAUAUAUAUAUAUAUACCAGGCGGUAUACCGCUGGUUAUACCGUUUCGUACCGUACCGAUCGAACGUCGAAAUGUCGGUACGGUACGAUAUUGCGAACCUUGGCUUAUAUGGACUGUACAAAUAAUAAAUCUAAUAUUGGGUUGGAUAUAUAAAACAUCAAGUGAAAACUUACUCCUAGCAAACGUUGCUCACCUGGCAGUAUUAUAACAGACUCCUCUUUGGCUAGCUUACUACAGAAAUCAAUAUCAUCAUGGAUGCCUUCCAAGUGAGACAAAUUCAGCUUUGCCUGCAUCACAUACCAUCGACUUAAGAACUUUGAUACAAGUAAAAUUCUUCUGAGAUUUGGCUCUGAUCCCUCUUACUUUCAAAUCCCAUCUUGCCUAGAUCAACUCAUCCAUCAUAGCAUGCCCCACUAAAAUGUGGUGCCACGUAGAUGGAUGGCUGGAUAUUGGAACAGAAGUGCAAUUAAAAACAGAUGCUCAAAAGAAAAUGGGUCUCACCAUUACAAACAUAGAACCCUCUGGUUUACGAGGGCAUGUAAUGCAAUCAAUCUCCUUUAUUUUGUCAUAACAUAUGUCUGCUGUUUUCCUCAGCAAAUUAAUGGUUUGCUCAAAGAAAUCAUCCUUGGUGUUCUCAAGGAUUUGAGGAAUAGCUCCCUGAAAGAGUAAAUUGUAGGUUAUACCAAACUAAACUGGAAAAAUGUCCACCGAAACAAAACAAAACAAAAAGGGACAAUCUAUUCAAUACACGAUAACGAGAGAUAAAUGACUUCUUAUAUUCAUAGGCAAAAGAAUAAGUUUAAAUAAACAUGUUUUUUCUUGAAUGUCUUCUUGGAAAUUUCACCAAAAAAAAAACAUGAAGAUCAUUGUUUUCAAACAAAAACCAUUAAAGAACAUCAGUAAGAGCAAACUUAAUGAUCCACAUUAAAGAACAUCAGGAAAGAGUAAUUAAUGAUUAUAAUAAAAAAGACUUUUUGAAUACUUAACCAUGUCUUAGGACAACAGAAUCAACCAACAUAACAAUGUAAUAGUGAUGACCAUUAAUAGGAAAUAUAAAGAAAAAAAGCAAACUUUAUCCAUCUGGAGGAAUUUUAAGAUACCAUUUCUAGAGAAAUAAUGAGGUGAAUUUUGGAGAACAAAGAGGUCCUUCACACAAAUACAAGUGUCAAAGAUAAAAGAAUAAUUCUUCACAUACAAGUGGCUACAUUGUUUUGUCUUAAAAUUAGCAAAGCAGUCGAAAUCCAUUUUGCUCUUUUGGAUAAAAAAGAGGUCCCUAGCCGAACCAAUACAAACCAAUCGAUAUCGGUGUACCAAUAAACGGUACAUCAGUAUGUAUCAAAGAUUCAAAGAAGAGGAGAAAGGAGGAGGAAGGGGAAGGAAGAAGAGGAGGCGAUGAAGGAAGAGGACGAAACACAAGGAAUAAAGAAGAGGAGACAGUAGAGAAAGAAGUAGAGAAAGAGGAAGAUGGAGAGGAGGCAGUGGAGGGAGGAAAAUACCCGAUCGGCAACAAUGGUGGGCGACAAAAUAUAUAUAUAUAUAUAUAUGUAUAUAUAUAUGUAUAUAUAUAUAUACAUACAUACAUAUAUAUAUACAUACAUAUAUAUAUAUAUAUAUAUACAUACAUAUAUAUAUAUAUACAUACAUAUAUAUAUAUAUAUAUAUAUAUGUCGCCCCAAAAAAAUAAUAUAUAUAUAUAUAUAUAUAUUUCUGAAGAAGUGAAUAUUAUAACAAAAAUCAUGACACGAUGCAAGUAUACUGAUUGAAUAUAGCACGACAAACAAUCAUUUAAGGUUGUCAUAAAAUCAAGGAGAACCUAUAAAUGUCAUAAAGAUGAGUAAAUUCAUGUAGAGCAGCAAAAGCAGAUUUGGUUAUAUAACAAAGAUAAACAAUAUGGUCCAAAACUGUAUAGUGAUAUUAAAUGGUGCUUAACGGUAAAACAGUUGCUGGCAUCGAACCCAAAUCAUUAGGAUAAUUGCUAUUCCAUUUGCUUUGACAGCUAUUGGUAAUUUUAUGGUCAGAAGAAAACUCAGAGGGCAGAGAAGAAGGGGUUGGUGUGGGAAAGGAGGCCAUUGAAGCAAUGAGGUUUAGGUUUGCUAAUAACUUUCAAGCCAUUGUAUUUUCAGCAAAAGAUCCCAAAUUUCCUGACCUUCAGCAAUUUUGCCAUCCAGUGGCCAUAAACACUAACAAAGUGAACAACCAAUGCAUUGCCACUAAUUUUACCUUCUUAUUACAUGUCUAACAACCUUUUUGGCUUCUCUGAAUUUGUAGAGAUGUCCUACAGCAUGAUUACAAUUAAGAUUCUCAGUUUAUAUCAAGAAUAAGGGAUGCAUUGUUUUACCUGAAUAAAGGUUGCAGGAUCUGUUGUGAUAUUCAGCAUGAUUGUGAGACUGUCAACAAUCUAAAGAAUGAAGCAUGUAAGUAUUCAUUCAUAUUGCUUAACAAAGGCAAUAAGAAAUCCAAGCUACCAUACUCCAAAAUAACAAUUAAACCCAAAAGGUAUUGUUAUGCCAAUAAAUUCACUGGUUUUAGCACGAAUUUAAUGAAUGGUUCAGAUUGUACUUUAAACAUUGCAGGUUAUGUUCAUUGAACAUACAGAUAGGUUGGAUAACCUAAUAUAUUCUAUCCCUUUGCUCCUUAUUAUCUUAACUUCUAAGCUUAAAAACACCUCAGUCAACUAUAUAACACAUGUUCAUUGACCUCAAGGCUUCCAUAUUUAUUUAAUUCUGAACCAGAAAUAUCAAUCUAAAUUGGAUUCAACUGAGACAAAAAUAAAGUGCAACUAAAUUAUUGUGGAAGACCAAACGAUAUGCCGGAAGGAGCAAACGAUAUGUCGAUAUUAAGAUAAUGUGUCAAAGGUUCAUAUAAAGGGUUGUAAGAUCAGAAGACAUGGCAAAAGCUUCGAUGUUAUACUGGAUGAAAUUAUUAAAUCGAGAUCAAAGUGUUUUAUAUAAAUUUAAGUCAUUGUCAGGAUAAUUUUGAGCCCAAGCUUACAGCAAUCUUUAGGUUUGAGUCUGGGCCAAAAUUGGGCCCAUUAGAAGGCUAAAGAAAUGGCCUAUACCAAGCCUGGGUGGUGGUGCCGCCAGGCCCAUGCGAUGGUACCGCCUAAGUCAGUUGAUAAUACAGAAAUAUUAUCAGUACCGAGGUUCGCAAUACCGUAUCGUACCGGUAUUUCGACCUGGGCUUGGUACCGGUACGGUACGGUAUACCGAGCGGUACACCCAGGUGUACCGAGUACUGUAGCACUGCUACAGUGCUAUAGUACACGGCUACAGUUCUACAGUACUACAGUACUCUCGGACCGGUAACAGUCGGUCCGCGUACCGACAACCUAUCGGACCGAUAUGUACCGCCCGUACCGGACGGUACAGCUUGGUACGACAGACCCUGGUCAGUACUAUCGAUGAUAGUACCAUCAGUUUAAGUGAUAAUACCACAUAGGACAACGAUGGUACCACUUGAAAUUCAAAUUUUGCGAAGGUGAUACCAUCGAAGUAUAGAUUUGCAGCUUGUGUCAAAAUUUUGAAAAUUUAAAAUUUUAAUUAUAUUUUAAAAAAAUUUUAGGGUCUAUAAAUAUUCCACUCAAGCUUGGUUGAUAUAUCAUCCAUUUUUUAGAUAGUAAGGUGUUGUAAGAUCUCAUUUUAAGCAUAAUUUAAGUCUUCUUUUGAGUUUGGUCAUAAUAUUAAAUUAUAUAAAGUGAAAGAUCUUUUAUUAAAAAUGAGUAUGAAGGUUAUUUUCUAAACUUGAAAAAUGAAAAAAAUUAUAAGAAGGAUAGUUGGUCAUCGUCAAUUGAAAAAAAAAAAUUCCAAAAAGAUCAUCCUUUUUAAAACCAACAGGUUGUUUAGGAAGAAUAGACCUCAAGAAGGUACUGAACCUAACUAGAAAUGCUUAGGAGUUGUAUCUAACCAAGAAUGGCAAUCACCUUAGUUUCUUUGAAAACACCAUUUGGGUCACUUGUCACAAUCCACCCAAGACGCCAACCAGGCACCACCCAUCUCUUUGAUAUAGACCCCAAGGUAAGGACAGGAACAGUGGACCCAAAAACACCCAUUGGCACAAAAGGGUUACUCCCAAAAACCAAAUGGUCAUACACUUCAUCUGCAAUGACCAUUAUGCCAAGUCUCUUUGCAGUGUUGGCUACCUGAAAAAUAAUGACCACAUUUUAUGAUUUAAUAUUUUCAAGAUCUGCCACAUUAGUCGAACUUACAGGAUCAGAGUUUCAUCAUCUAAAACUAACCUCUGCCAAGUGCUGAUAGGUGAAAACAUUCCCACAGGGGUUACCAGGGUUGAUGACCACCAUAGCGACAGUGUUCUCAUCUGCCAGAGCUUCCACAGCUUUGAGAUCAAUCUCCCAGCCCUUCUCUGGGAGUAGGUCAAAAUGGCGAACCUCUAGACCAUUAACGCCAGCUCGAGCCUCGUAAAAUGGGAAUCCAGGUCUAGGCAGCAGUAUGUUCGCACCCGGACGGGCAAGUACAGAAAGUGCUAUCUCGAUUGCCUGGCUGCAGCCCGCGGUGAGGAAGAUGUCAUCGGUCGACAGCUUAUAAGGGAGGUCACGUGAAAGGUACUCCGCGAUAGCGCUAUCAUCAGGCCCAGAGCGUCAGAACAUUAACCAUACAAGAAACCAGUGAAAACUUUAAAGCAUAUGAUAGCGAUCACUACCAAAUAAAGAACAUGUUACAAGGAAUGGCAUUUCGUGUAAAGAAAUGACACCAACCAUGAAAAGGAACAAAACAAAACCAAAAGAACGAUAUAUGAAUCGUCUGGAAGAUGGAAUAUUCUUCGAAAAGAACUGUCUUUUUAAUCAAAAUAUCAUCUUUUUAAGAGCAGCACUGAAUCCAGCUUCAGAAAUAACUAAGCAUCAAUAGAAACUCUAGAUUACCGAGGCAACAACAUGAAUAACAAACAGAACUGAGACAAAGCAACGGAGCACAAAAGAAUAACGAAGAUGGACGAAAAUUUUUCAUUUGUUUCUUUCUUGGUCUUUCCAUUACGGUGAUAUUGUUUUCAGGGAGAAUCACCGUCGAGCGGGAGGAACCCCGACGUUGGGGGCAUAGCAGUUGAAGUUGGCGGAUCGGACGGCGGCGACAAUGGCGUCCUCGGCCACGGCGGUGGUGCGGAAGCACGGGAAGGCGGAGGGGUCGCCGUGGCCGAGAGGGAGCACCGGUCGGGGGCCGUCGUCCCGGAUAUUGGCGAUGACCUUAUCGAGGACCGCGCGGAUGCUGGAGGCGGAGACGCUCGCCAGCGACGCGUUGGGACCGAAGCGCCAUCGCCCCGCCGCCGUUGCGCCGUCGACACCCCCGUUAUCCAUCGCGAACCUGGCUGUCGAUGGUGGGACGGCACGAAGGGUUAGGGUUCCCGAGGGCUCAUGAAGGACCACCUAUCGCUGGCAGUGGCGACCGAGGGGGGGACGUCAGGUGGAGAGGCGUUACCAACACGAUUUAUUAGGACCGUGAAAUGCUUUUCACACCCUCCAACGAAGCCCCAUGACGAAACCGGGACGAUCUUGACCGUCCACACCAUCAUUCUCUCACAAUCUUCGUUGGUUUGUUACGCGGGAAGGUCUCUGCUGCUUGCGGAGUACGUUAAGGUCGAGUCAGCUUGAAAGCAAGGAGGCGUUGGGCCUGCGCGGACGCCGACCGCGGUCGACCCCUGCGCAGGAGCUUCCAGAUCAGCGUCAAUCAGUGGAGCCCACCGUCGCAGCCAGAAACAAUGAAAGCUGCUUGGAGUUUUUCGAUGGACAGGGAUCACGAAUUCCGUCAUCCUGAUUAGACGACGUGGACGCAACGGACGGGACAAACGGGUGCGUCAUGGCAGUUUGUCCUAUCCCAUUGGUGGGCCCCACAUGGCUUGUCCUAUCCCAUUGUUAUAAAUAUAUUUAUGACGUUUUUAGUAGAACGAAUUCUUAAAAAAUAAUUUAGUUUUAAUUUUCAAAAUGAUCUUAGACCACUAGUUUUCUAUUUUAGAGAUUUUUUUGAUAUUUUUAUAAAUAUUAUUUAAGCAUCAAAAUAGUGUAUCAUUUUUUCUAUUUUCUACUUACUUUUUCUCUUUAUAUCUCAUUAUUUAAAUCAGGAUCUGUCAUAUCGAGCCGUACCGCCCGGUAUAAGCGAUACAUACCGGUUCGACAGGUUAUCGAUAGGUGGACCGACUGUUACCGAUCCAAGUGUACUAUAUCACUGUAGUAGUGUACUGUAGCACUGUAACAGUACUACAGUACUCGGUAUACCUGGAUAUACCGCUCGGUAUACCAUAUCGUACCGGUACCGAGCCCAAGUCAAAAUACCGGUACGGUACGAUAUUGCGAACCUUGAUUUAAAUCAAAAAUUUCUUCUUCAUCUUCCUUAUGAGGAAGAAAGUGAAAACUUACAGUAAUGCCCUAAACAAUGGGGAUGACUCAACAAAAAUGCAUUAAUACAUCUGAUCCUUUAAGCAGCCAAAAAUCAUUCGUAAAACAUCAAACAUGUACUUGUUAUUUCAGAAAAUGUGAUGGGAGUAAAACCAUAGUUUGAAUGGUUUCCUGUCUCAUGCAGUUCUGAGAUGAAAGAUCAAUACAAAUCUUGGUUGAAUUGUGGCUUCUACAGUACAGACAUCGCACAGAUAACCAUGUAAAGCCAAUGGAGUGUAACACUUCCCGAUAAGCAGCAUCACCACAAGAUCAACCGUAAGAGCACAAACCUUGCUCCAAUCUGAAAUCAGAAAUCUUCAACAACUACAAUAAUACAAAGCAUUUUUCCAAUGGUGAUAUGUGUAAAAUUUAGUACCACAAACAAAUAUGGUAAAGAGUAAUGCGAGCAAGGUAUCAUUCAGAUAUGAUCUUGCUGGGUUGCCUCGUCGUCAUCGAGCACAGAGCCUGUAUUUUCAUCUCUUCAAGCUACUUGGUCCUUGCUUUUUCUUGCUGCAUGAGGUUAGAGGACCAUUAAGCUGAUAGAAUAUAAACUGUUCAUUAAGCUGUAUUAACAAAUCAGACUGCAAGUUUCUUAAAGAAAACCCAAAAUGUUCAUCAUGAACGUCACGGCAUCUCCUCUCAACCCUUGUUAGCACAAAGUCAGACUGGAAUGUUUAACAGGCAAAAAAAUUUCAAGGAUUACAGGCCAGUUACUAAUUGUUGAAUUAUCAAGUGCAGGAACCUAAGUUCAAAUGCCAUGUUGAUUCAUUUCACUCGAAGAAAUGGAGGAAAAUGAGAUUCGAUAGUCGAUUUCUAUCUCCUCUCCUCUUGCAAUUAGGAAAAGCUUUCUGCAUCUUUUACCUUAUAUGCCAAAAGAAAAACAAAUCCAUGUGUUUGAUGGCAAUUUGACAUAAUGACGAUAAUGGAAAUAAGUUAUUUAGAAUUUCACAUAAACCAACAUGUCCAUCAUUUAAAAAAAAUAUAAUCGAAAAUUUGCUUCAGGUUUUUAAGCAUUAUACUGACAGAUGAUGACCGAGAUAAAAUAACUCAAAAGAGAUCAAGUCAAAUGACGAACUGAAUGUAUAAAUUAUACAUAAACUUAACAGGAAAAAAAGUAGUUUGCUUUUUUUUUUUCUUUUUUUGUGACAGAUUAAACUGCAGAUAAAACAGAUACGGAAGUUUAAAGAAAUUAUAGGAGUAUCCAGACUGUACCUUGAGUUAGGUUUAUUAAUGUUCUUGGUGGACAUCUCCCUUUCCCCCCUGCCAAAUGCAACCUCGUCCAUGCUUUGCCCUUGCCUCCUAUAUAGGCCACCAGAUGCCACAAAUCCAGGGCAUGGCCUAAAGGCUUUUAUCGGCCACCAGCCAAAGCCCGGGACAGUGGCUAUCCCGCCCUGAAUCCGUCCCUUGCCAUUGCAACCUUUCUCAAUUUCCUCUCUUCCACAAGUCUUGCAGCCCCUUGAGAUAUAAUCUCACAUCAUAAAUAAUUCAGAUAGCAGAAAAUAGCUGUUUUAGCAAACUAACACCAAAACAAUACUGUAAGCUGCAGAUGGUCAUAAUAGACUACUAUUAUGGGUGAUAUAAACAUGACAAUCAAGAAGAUAAACAUAUUGUAGCCAAAGAAUUUAUUGUUGUUGGAAAAUUUAAAAAAAAAUCCCAAAACAAGUAUGAUAAAUGAACUUGUACAUACCUUCUCUUUAAGGAAUUUGUGUCCCAAGAAGUGUCGAAUCACCAACUAUUUGGAUCAAUAUUGCGGAUCCAAAAUGUAAUCACCAAUAGGGAAAACACCUUCUUUUUUACCACUCAAAUGUGUGAUAAUAAGAAUGAUAAUUGGAAUGCUUUUGCAAUUCUCUCAACCCCUAUUUAUAGGGUUCUUGGCAUGAGGAAGUUUUAUUAUCGUAAUUUUCCCUCAUGAAUUAUGCUCAUUCGUUUGAGGAUUUAACCUUUGUAACUCAUCCAAUGAAGGAGGGGAAUUAUUCUAUAUGACACCUACAAUGAAGAAUGGUUGUAAUUCCUCCAUUACUCGGUGAAUGUGAUGACUCCAACGAAUGAGGGUAAGGAGUCACUUGGUGAGAAGUUAUUCUUUGUAACACCUCCAUUUGAGGACUCAACCAACACUAGUGGUUAACCAAAUUGACCCAACCCAUCAUGGGUGGACCGAUCCUCCUUUCACUUGUUAAUCAUUUAACAUUAAAGAAGAUGCAGGCACUGAAGGAAGAAGGACAAAGAUACUCCAUUCCAUCUCCAGCUUGUACAAAUUUCUGUAAAUUUGAAACAACAAUCUUCCUAUGUUUCAACUUGCAAUCAAGAUGCUUAAGCCUUAGAUAACUUGAACAAUUGAUUACAAGAUUUAGGCUUUUAAUAUUUUACUCUCCCAAGAUUUAUACCAAAUGUUUCCAAUAAUCUGCGCACGGCGAGGAUUGGCCAUAGCCGGUCUUAAAUGCCCCAAAGAAAUCAGUAGCCCUGACUUCCAAUCGAUCAGUACACAACUUCGUGCAGAAGCAACAAUCUAUAUACUAAUAACAGGUUCUACAAUGACAUAAUACAAAUACAAAUGUGCUUACUAUUCGAUGGCACAAACAUAUAGAGAUAACAACCCAAAAGAACUGAUGAAAUCAUAGCAGAAGUUCAUACAGUUGAGUUGUUCAAGGGAAGAAUUUGAAUCGUAUAGGAUACCUGAACUGGGGGUCCUCUGUGCCUUCAAUCGGUGAUUCGGCUUCAUAAGGGGAGAAUCCUUCUCUAGGAAGAGGAAGGGUGGAGCUAUCGUCUUCUUCCUCUGCUGCUUCUUCGGUUACAACUGGAUAAGAAGCAUCUGCGGAAGGAGUCGAAGAAGAAGAGCAGCAAAGGGUGGACUUGCGAGGUGGACUCACGAGUUGAGGAUGAGGAAUAGGUGGAGGAGGAGGGGAACGGCGUGGAAAGAGGAGAAAUUGGGAAGGUGGAAGGGAGAUAGACGCGGCCAUCAGAACACCAAAGAGGAGCUGUGGCUUCCGAAACCAAGAACAGGGGAAGAAGGCACUUGUAAGCCACACGUGUUACGAGACGACAGAAGACCUCAAUUCCUGUUUAAUCUUACAAACGUAAAACAUUUAAUCCCAAUUCUUUUUUAAAUCAUUAAUUUCAUCGAUAAAAAAAAAUAUUAAAAAAAUAAAAAUAUAAUUUUAUUAUUUUUAAUUAUCAUAUUUAUAUCUAUUUUUCACCCUAACUGAUUUUUCUCUCUCCAUUUUCCGACUUACUUUCUAUCGCUCGUCUACCGCACCCGCUCAACCUGCAUCGCUCGAUCGCCGUCGCUUCUACACCACUCGACCACCACAGCAUCUACACCGCUCGUCGCGGACACUCUUGCAUUGACCAUCGUUGCUCCUACAUUGCUCAGUGUGAUGGUGAUAAACGAUGUAGGAGAGGCAAUGAUUAAGCAAUGCACGAGCGAUGACGAUCGAGCGAUGUAAGACCGACAAUCGAGUGGUGCAAGUGCAAUAACAAGAGUGAUGCAAGUGCGAUGACGAUCGAGCGAAUACAAGAGACGAGCGAUAUGCAAGUAAGUCAGAAAAAGGAGAGGAAGAGAAAUAGAUUAGGGCGAGAAGUGAAUAUAAAUUUAAUUAUUAAAAAAAUAAAAUUAUAUUUUUUAUCUUUUUUAUUUAUAUAUAUUUUUCUUUGCAUUUUAUUUUUUAAAAUACAUGGAUCAAGAUGCUAACCAUAGUUAACUACUGAGAAUACCAUAAUCCAUAGUUAACUAUAAAGGAUACCAUAAUCCUGCAGAUGGUGAGGCCUCUUUUCAUAUAUGGAGAAGAAAAAAAAAACAAAGACUUCUCAGCGAAGAGUCAGCAUAGCAUAUGGCGUCAAAACGGCUAAAAGCUCGCCAAACAUACAAGAUCACGGUUUUCUAAAAGAAAUUUUGGUAUUCGUAAAGCGCACAAUAUUAAGUGAAUGCACACAAGAAUAGUUUGCAUCCUUCAACCACUAAAUGCUUGCCAUAACAAAGAACCAAUGGGACUUCGCAAAUUUCUGGAAGUAGAUCAAACCUAAAAUAUAGAGAAGUUCUGAAUAAUCUUCUGCAAUGCUGAAAAGUACAUCUGAACCAUACACAAUCAUGCCAAGUUGACAACAAAUCAGCCUUUCUUAUUUAGUGUACUGUCAAUAUCAGAACUAUUACUCAUACAUAAGUGUAACAGAACUCGGGCAACAUAACACCCAAAUGACUUGUUUAGUUCCUCCUUCGGACUUAUAAACCUGUAUGAUGAACGGAGCCUCAGCUUUGUAUACUCGAGGUGGAAAUGUCAAUUGAUUGCCAACAUUACAGCAGGCAAGUUAGUUCUUAAACCUUUGACAUUAGGGUUUAAGUUUUCAUACAAUGCCCAUUCAUGACUGCUCUUGCAACACUCUUCUUGUAUGUGCAAAAAUUUCUCAAGUAAUCAUAAGAUCAUCUGAUUCGGUUUGUGAAAAGAAAUUUCACAUCACCUGGAACUGAAGAACUCCUCUUUGCAGUAAUUUGCAAGAUGACACCAUCAGCAAGCAUACGCUGAAGAACUCUUGCUAUAUUCUUAGUGUCGUCAAUCCCAAGGUGGUGACUUCCCAACAAGGGUAUUUCCAGUUCCCUCAGCAUUGUCAUCAUUCCUGUUGCCUGUCACGAGAGAGAAUUAAUUAAUAAUAUAGGAUUGCUAAGGACAGACAAAAUUUUUUAAAAAAUGUUAGUUCCUCCAAUUAUUGCAGUAUCUGUGGAGAAUAGACAAUAAAGGAAAUCUGCUCACCCUUCUCUUGUAAAAAUUGAGGUAUAUGUCCUUCAGAUUGAUCCACUCCAUGAAGUAUGAAGGAGUCUUUAUCUUUGAAACUUUGCAUUGCUCAGGAAUCUUCGUCUUCAAGUCCCAGUUCCCACUGUCAUUAUAAGGCAAAAUAAGCAUGUCUGAUUCUUAUGUCAUUAGGUUAUUUCCUAGGUAAAGGAAAAUUAUUUAAUGCUUAAGUUUUCCCAAGAAACUUUAAGUGUGACAAGUUUAAGAUCCUAAAAUUUUAUGCUUAUAACCAAGAAGCGAGCUUUAAAUUUCAUAUCUAUGUGUUACAUAAUACAUGAUGAAUUCUGACCUAUAGCAUACUCAUUAAACAAGUAGUGAUUUUUAAAAGCAAUAAACAGGGCAAUAUCCUAAAAGUCGAUAACUCAGACUGAGUAGUUUAGUUGUCAAUAAAGCAAAAGCAAAUAAGCAUAUUAAACACACAUUUCAAGAGACUGAUUACAAGAAUCCACAAUUCAACCUAUGAAAAUAUCAAGGUGCUUCUGCAUGAUUUGGUCAAUUACCCUGUUCAUUAGAUGUAUGUAUCUGUUCGAGUUAUGAAUAAUAUACAUGAGGUAGUACGCAUGAAAUAGAUGUAAAAUAGUGAAGCAGAGAACAAUCUUUGCAACAAAUCAAAUUCAGUGAACAAAAGUAAAUGAAUAAUUCAAGUAGCAGAUACUUGCCAAGAAAUGUACAAAAAAAAUUCCCAUUAAGAACUCAAGGCAACACCUUCUUUGCUAUAGUGGACUUGUGUGGUCUGCAUCAACCAGCACAAGCAGCCACCAUUUUUAAGGUGUGAGAACACCAGCACAUGGCAAGGACCACCUAUGUUGAUACGAUAUCGGCACAGUGUGGCACAGUCAAAAACUUACCUGAGUUCUACAAGACUCAACAGAGUAACAGUAGAUACAAAAAUUGUGUAUGUCCAACAUGUAUAAUUUGUACAAACGAGAUAAUGAAACAUUUGUUAACUAGUGAUGCAGAAGGAAUGCCCGCAGGUGGUGUCAAAUCCAAAUAAUACAAAGCAAAAAUUCUAGCUGACUCAACUAACAGAGACAAGCUAAGAAACACAAAACCAUAACAUGAAGCCAAAGACAACAUACAGUUAUUCAUAAUAACAACUAACCAAGUUACAAAAGCUGCUCGAUUAAGUAAGCCUCCUUGCUCCUUCACCCACAAGUGAUGUUUUUUCAUCCAUAGUUCAAAUUCAUGAAGCACAUCUUUAAAUGGGAUAGCGGUAUCAUGCCACACCCUGCAAAUCAAAUAGGCGGUUUAAUCCCUGUUCUUCUGUGAGACUUCUCUAAAUUAAAUUUACCUAAAACAACAGCACUUGAAAAGAAUUUUUAAAUGUUCACAUUAAUGUUUCAUGCAUCUUGUCAUUUCGCUCUUCUUCUACACUCUUCUGAGUCUAAUAAUACAGCUUGGAGAUCAUCUCACAGAAGAGUAUAUGUUUGGUUACGAAUAUGCAAAAUUAAAAUUGGAUUUGUUACAGACUUAACUACGUAAGCUAAACCAUGGAACAUUACUUAGCUAACCUGCACAAAGUAACGGAUAAACGAAUUAAACAAAGAGUAAGAUUUUGAUCAUCCCCACUUUCGCAAGGCAAACACGAAAGCAUGAGUUUGGCAUUUCAGCUGUUGGAAUUUUUACUGAUAAGUGCAAAGCAUUUAACCAACAAUCAGAAUCUGACAACACCUGCACUCUCUUUGUCAUGACAUUUUCUAUCAUGGUAAGGCUGUUGGUGUUACACAAUGGUCUCACAUCAACAGAAAUAGCAACACUCUUGCUAACUUUGGCAGGUUGAAUUCUGCUAUAUUUUGGAUAGGUGAUUAACCUCCUAGUGGUCUCUAUGAACUCUUGAAUUAAUAUAGUUUUUACUUCAAAAAAAAAAA